CUCUUUCUUGGUUUCUCCUUCUCUCUCUUUCUUGGUUUCCCACGGUCAAAGAUCCUUUCUCCCGAUUCUUCUCCUUCCCUUCCUUUUCCUCUGCUUUGCAGGUCGCAGCUUCGCUCUUCCCUCGUGCUCCCUUGCGAGAGAGAGAGAGAGGUGCCGGCGGUGGGCUGGCGCAGAUCAAGGCGCCGAGGAGGAGAUCGGGGCGCCGGCGGCUCGGGCCGGGCAGCGUGGCCGGAGGCGCCACGGGAGGGUGGAGGCAUGCGGUGGUGGGGAGCGGGGGAGGAGGUGGCGGUGCCGGGAGCAAGGGGCGACGCCCGGAGGGGGAGCUCAACCUAGAGCGGCGGGCGGCGACGGCGUCGGUGGGCGGCGGAUCCGGCGGCGCCGCCCUCGGGGGGGGGGGGGGCGCGGAUCCGCCGCCCAAGGGAGGGGUUCGGUGCUCGGCCCCGCGACGGCCGGCGGCGGGCGGCAGCAGCGGCGCGGCGAAGCUGGCACGGCCGGCUAGGGUUUCGGGGUUUUUUUAUUUUUUUAUUUUUGCUGAAAAAUAUUCUUUUUGCCCGCAUGUAAAAUACCGGAUAUCCGAUGAAAAAUUUCGGAUGGUUUCCGACCGUUUUCCGAUUCCAUAUCAUCGGAUAUCACCCUUUACUAAAUUCGUUUUCGUAUCCGAGAAAAAAAAAUUCGAAUUCGUUUCCAAAUCCACUAUAUUUUGGAUAGUUCUGACCGAAUUUUUCCGAAUCAAAAAAAUUGGUACUAUCCAAAAAAAAAAAAUUUCCGACGGAAACUAUCCGAACCGAACCACCAGUCUUAUCCAGUCGGUCCCGUGGGCAGGCCAUGCGGUACGUACUGUGAGCCAGCCGCGCGUGCGACCAACCAGCAGCUGCAUAUAUGCAGUGACAAAUGCACGCAUGCCUUCAUGUUGUCAUGCAUGUUGCCGGUCUCGCAUGGCCAUCCCACGGGACUGCGAGGUGCCGCUCGACCGGCUAGCGGGACUGACGCGGUACCACGCACCUACGCCGCAGGGUUGAGGCAGCUGUCGGUCCGGUGUUUUCACCCCCGCGGGAACGUGUAUAUUUCACUAUUCUUGUAAAACUAUAUAUAUAAUUAAAAAAAGGUUAGAAAUAAUGGAAAUUUUCAAAAAAAAAUUCUUAUCAUUCAUUUGGCUACUAUAUUUAUGCAUAAUAAUCGUAGGAAAACAAAACAACAUAGCUCUGAGUACAUAAAACACAUUUACCGCACUUAUAUAAGCUUCGGUUAUCGGUAUUGUGACUAUUUGUGUGUAUAUGUAACUGAUUAGUGGAGAUUCCACUUAAUUCUGGAAAUUGUGCAGUGUGAAAAUGCCAAAUAAGAAAAAGUAGAUAGUAGGGAUGUGGAUUUAGAGCCUACUAAUGCGAAUAUAUUAAAAACAUAUAUAACAAUAUAAUAGGGAUAUUUUUCAUAAACUAGCAUGGUGGCCCGCGCAGAUUGCGUGGCUAGCAUCAUUAUGUUUUCUCUCAUAUAAUAGCAUAUAUGUUUUCUCAUUAUAUUAUUCAAAUAUGUUAAAAUGACAACAUAAUUUUAAAUUUUUCAAUAACUUUACAAAACUACUAAUGUAUAAUAUUCAUAUUAUAUUUUAUAUACGAGUUAGUUAUUAAUUAUUUUUAGUAUCAAAUUUUAGUUAUUUGUAAAUUAUAUAUAUCCUAUAUGGAUUCUAGACUCGUCUUUCAAUAUUUCUUUUUUUUUUAAUUCCGAAUUUUCUGUAAAUUGUAUUUCUAUAUAGACUCGAUGCUCUUCUUCCUAUAUUAUUUAUUUUUAUUUCUGAAUUUUCAUAUUAUAUUUUAUAUACGUGUUAGUUAUUAAUUAUUUUAAAUAUCAAAUUUAAGUUAUUUGUCAAUUAUAUAUAUUCCUAUAUGGAUUCUAGACUCGUCUUUUAAUAUUUUUUUUAAUUCCAAAUUUCCUGUAAAUUGUAUUUCUAUAUAGACUCUAUGCUUUUCUUCUAAUAUUAUUUAUUUUUAUUUCUGAAUUUUUAUUAUUUAUAAUUGUAUUUCUAUGUGGACUCUAAACUCAUCUUUCAAUAUUCUUUAAUUUUUAAUUUCAAAUUUCAGUUACUUUUAAAUUGUAUUCCUAUAUUUGUAUUCCUAUAUUGACCUUAAACUCUUCUUCCCGUGUUUUCUUAAUUUCGAAUUUUAGUUAUUUGUAAAUUAUAUUUUUUAUACGGACUCUAAACUCUACUUUUAAUUUUAUUAUGUUUAUUCCAAAUUUUAGUUAGUUUUAAAUUCCUAUAUGGACUCUAUACUCUACUUCUAAUAUUUCUUAUUUUUUAAUUUCGAAUUUCUUUUUUUUAAUUAUAUUUCUAUAUGGACUCUAUACUCUACUUAUAAUAUUCCUUAUUUUUAAUUCCAAAUUUCUAUUAUUUUCUAAUUAUAUUUUUAUAUGGAUUCUAUACUCUACUUCUAAUAUUCCUUAUUUUUAAUUUCAAAUUUCAGUUAUUUCCUAAUUGUAUUUCUAUACGGACUCUAUACUCUACUUCUAAUAUUCCUUAUUUUUAAUUUCGAAUUUCAGUUAUUUCCUAAUUGUAUUUCUAUAUGGACUCCAGUCUCCUCUUCUAAUAUUCCUUAUUUUUUAAUUCCGAAUUUCAGCUAUUUCUAAAUUGUAUUUCUAUAUGGACUCUGCUUCCUAAUUGUAUUUCUAUACGAACUCUAUACUCUACUUCUAAUAUUCCUUAUUUUUAAUUCCAAAUUUCAGUUAUUUCCUAAUUGUAUUUCUAUAUGGACUCUAGUCUCCUCUUCUAAUAUUCCUUAUUUUUUAAUUUCGAAUUUCAGCUAUUUCUAAAUUAUAUUUCUAUAUGGACUCUGCUUUUUCUUUUUCUCCGAUUAAUGUGAGAAUUUCUAGGCCAUGAGAGCGAACGUGGAGGCUCCUUUUUCUAGUCCUUUAAUAAUAUAAUAAUAGAUUUAGGGCUUCUUGAAACACCUUGUCUUAAAACAUGGGGUUUCCAAAAACAAAUCACAGUAAUUAUGGUUUUGUAUUUCGUGUUACUGAUACCCCAAAAUCUAGGGUUUUGUAAAAUUGAAUCUAAUAUAUCCUCUUCCAAUGGAGAUAGAAAACUUUGCAAACGAUGAUUGUACCCUGGGGCCACCUUGCAAAGUUUAAAUUAGAACCAUUUUGGCUGACUUUCAACCUUUUACAAAAUUUAAAAGUUGUCCAAAAUUAUGAAAAUAAAAAUAUUUUACAGAUGUUGUUAAAUUCAGACUAUAUUUAUUUCUUUUUUAAAAAAUAUAUAUGUUCUUAUUUUUUUUAUUUGUAACAAAUAUUGAAUUCCGUAAAAUAUGAUUAAAUUCAGCUAAAAUAUGUUCAGAUUUUAAUUUGGAAGGUGGUCCAAAGGUAAAAUUGUCUUUUGCAAAGUCCUAUCUCCCUUUUGAAAUAGGAUAUAUCAAAAUAAUGGCUAGAAUGCCUUUUGGCAAAGAACCACUAGACUAAAGUGUCCUAUAGCAGCCACUAAACUAGAGUGUCCUAGAACAAAUAUCAUAAAUUGAGUGUCGUAGAGAAUUUUGCACUUCUAUUAUUUGAUAUCUUGAAUUGAGCUGGAAAAUGUUGAAACAAUGGUCAUAGUGUUUAGCAUAUUGCCACGAAACCAAAGUUUCCAAUGGUCAAGACAUGUAUUUAGAAUGUCGCACAGCAAUUGCCACGAAAAUACAAUGUCCUAUGGAAAUUCUUGCGCAGAUUUUACUAUUCUGGGUUUUCGUUGCUUCCUUUUUAGCAUACAGUUUAGGUAGAAGUUACUACAUCUCUCCUUUAAUAUUUAUGUUAGGAAACGAUAGGCAAAUAAACGAUAAAGAACAAUAGAUCAAUCACAGAAGACACGAGAUUUAACAUGAAAAACCCUCCAAAAGUAGGAGAGAAAAAAACACGGGCGCCAGCCGGUAAAAUAUCGUGAGGUUACAACACCGAACGGCGGCUUAUAAGAUAUAUAUAUGAAGGUAUCUUCACUACACUAUAUCAGGAUAACGAUCCGUACCGCGGCUUCAGCCUCUGCUUCGCUCCGGCCUAGCCUCCGGCAUCUACGGGCCUCUACUUCGCUUCAAUAGAAGCUGACCUUUAUUAUGUGCAAAUGAAUUUGGAUCACAACUCAACAAUUUGAAGUUGGUUAGUUGGAAAUUGAAUUGACAAACGUCAUAUUUAAAAGAAUAGAGGGAAUACUUUCUAUUGUGGGAAUUAUUUAUUUGUAAGAAGAUGAGCACAUUACUAAUUUGACUUAUGGAAUGAUUAUUGAUACUUCUGUACAAUGAUGCCACGACUUGUAGAGUGUUACUGACUCAUGAUCAUUUAUAUCGGUAUGCUCAUUUGAAGUGCCAAUCUUUCACGAGUUCCAUCAGUACAUGCGAAUUCCUUCCCAUUGACUGAUAAACCUUCCAUAGAAUUAUUUCGUGAACCUCUCAUCUCUCACAUUCUAAAGCUUGACAUUGAUCCUAAAUGAUGGAAUAUUUUCUUUUUAUUCAGGCCGCUGAAGUUGCUAGUCAGGUGAACUCAUGGGUAGACAGAGUCACAUCAGGCCUCAUCAAAGAAAUACUCCCUCCAGGAUCUGUUGACCAUACUACCAGGCUGGUUCUGGGUAAUGCCCUUUAUUUCAAAGGAGCAUGGACUGAGAAGUUUGAUGCAUCUAAAACCAAAGAUGGCGAAUUUCGUCUUCUUGAUGGCAAGUCGGUUCUAGCACCAUUCAUGUCCACUUCAAAGAAGCAAUAUCUUUCGUCUUACGACAGCUUAAAGGUACUGAAGCUUAACCUGUAUAGGUCUACCCGUAUAAUUUUUGAGAAUUUUUACGGUACAAUCUACUGGUAGUAUAUACUACCAAUAUAAAUGAUCCAACGGUGUAGAUUGAUCUGCAUAGCUAUUUAAUUAGAUUGCAGUAAAAAAUAAAAAAGCGCAUAUUCAUCUUUCUAUUUUAUUAGGUGGGGCUAAUUAUGUAAAUUACACGUACCGAUUAAUUAAACCCUAUAUUUCUACUAUGGCAUGCUAAUCUAUUUCUGCAUUCCGGCGGGGCACUGACCUCGGAUCGCCGGAUCCUCUAGGUCCACUGCUCUCUAUACCAUUGUCAUCUUUAGAUCAAUAUAUACAUUCUUCGGAUUAAAAUAGCAGAGAUUAUUUACAAAGAACAUAACUCUUCUCUUUGAGUAGAGCAAGAACGCGCGAUAGGGUAAAGAGUAAAUAAGAGUAUAUCUGUACACACAUUCAAUUUCACGCACAGAUCAGAUGUAUUUUCAGCCAGAACAACAGCGCAUUGUCUUUAAUUCCAACUCUAGCUCGUUGGAGGGUGUUGCGCCGCCGAAGCCAUGCCGGAUUGAAUGUGUCUCGCGGGAUGCGGGGCAGACUGCGGUGGAAGGCAGCGACUGGCCGCCUGGGCAGGAAGAAGGACGCCCGGGAAUCCUGCUGCCGACGAGGACGAAUCACGCCGCCGUCUCUCCUGACUCACGCACACUGAUAUCAAUAGAUAGAGAAUUAGGGAUUGAACUGAUGAAUGAAUAACUAAAAUACCCUUACAAUCAUUUAGGAAAUUCUCAUUAUACCCUUAUAAAUACUGCAAGUAUAUACUACCAGUAUAGUGUACUGUAAAAGUCCUCUAAUUUUUUUCUGCUAUAUUCAAUGAAAUUGGUAUAUUCUAAGUGUCGGUUUGUUAAAAAAAAAAAGGUACUGAAGCUCCCAUACCAGAAAGGCAGGGACCUGAGGCAGUUCUCCAUGUACAUACUUCUUCCGGAAGCACAGGAUGGCCUCUGGAGCUUGGCUGCGAAGCUGAACUCUGAACCAGAGUUCCUGGAGAAGCGUAUCCCGACGCGGCAAGUUACUGUCGGCAAGUUCAAGCUCCCCAAGUUCAAGAUAUCGUUUGGAUUUGAAGCGUCUGAUUUGCUCAAAAUUUUGGGGCUCCAACUGCCAUUCAGUUCGAAGGCUGAUCUUACUGGGAUGGUGGGUUCUCCAGAGAGACAUAACCUGUUCGUUUCAUCCCUUUUCCACAAGUCGUUCGUCCAGGUGGAUGAGGAAGGCACCGAGGCUGCUGCUGCAUCUGCAGCAGUGGUCAGUUUUAGGUCAGCUCCAGUAACCGUGGACUUCGUUGCGGAUCAUCCGUUCCUGUUCUUGAUCAGGGAGGACAUGACAGGUGUGGUGCUGUUCAUCGGCCAUGUGGUGAAUCCACUUCUGUGAUCAGGGAAGACAAGAAUGGGUGUUGCAAUAUACUGUAGAGAAGCAGCAUUUGAUCAUGGUGACUUCUCAAUGAGUAUGACAAAUGUUCUGUGUGUGUUUGAUUGUGCCUGCAUGAUGUAUGUGAGGUUUGUGUAAUGGCUGAGUUAAUAAAUGAGAUGAGACUCGCUGGUCAAAUUGUUCAUUGUCAACUGGUCUAGUAUCAGCAAUGGCGAUGGUGUAGCUUCAGCCAGCUGUGUUGUUUAGGUUUGCUUGACCAACUGCUGAUGGCGAUGUCUGCAUGCCCCAAAUGAUGUACUGAUGUUAACAGAGUAGUACCUUAAUAUGAUGAAUGCCUGAACAUCAAUAAUUAAGAGGCUAACGCUAACGCAUACCGAAUAACCAUAUAUACUAUUAAAAAAUUGAGAAUAUUUUUAUCGGUAUUUGGUUCAAAUACGUCAGUCGGUUUUUAAGUUUUGUUUGGUUUUGAAAAUACAGAUCUGUAUUUGAGUUGGGUUUUAAGUUCGCUUGCUUUUGGAAAUACGGAAGGAGUCAUAUAAGAUAUCUUUUUUAAAAAAACUAUGCUAACUUGAGUGGUUUCAAAAAAAAAAUGUUAACUUAAGACGAUCGGAUUCCUAAUUGCAGCUCAUGAUUUUCUAGAAAAAUAUAUAUCCAAGCGGAUCCUCACAGUGAACUUCAUCUUAACUAAACAGUAUAACAAUAAUACGUUGAGACGCACGGACAUUUUUUCUAGUCUAAACAAAAAUGGGAGAAAUUCACUGAAGUAACAUAAAUAAAAUUAAUGACGUGCAGUGCAGAUGGUGCUUUGAAAAUGGAAACAAGUUCGUGUACUGAGCUUACUGGGGGCAUCUCUUAUUCAGUCUUCACGCUGCUACUACUACUACUACUACCACUACAUCGCUUUCCCUCAGUUAAGGGGAGCAAAGACAAGGUUCCAAACAGUUCUCAAAACGAGAUCUAGGACACUCCAAUACACAAAUCAACGGCGACAAAACAGGAGACAACAGGGAUCAUCAGGCAUAAUAAACAGCAUAGGCAACCGAACUUUUUUGUGAUGUACUCUUGACACAUGUAUCCACUUCCCAGUUUCUUGGCCAUCUUUGUCAUCUGUGACUGUAAUACAACAAACCAAUUCGCGGGCAACUGACAAGCAAUCUGCCUGUCUGCUUGCUAGAAUUCACAGCAUCACAUAGCGUAUACUAUCUCCCCACUGCUUUCCACGUCAAGAUCGGGGUCUGAAUCAAGGUCCUCCAUGUCAUCAUCGAGGUCAAGGCCAUCAUUCAAGAACUGGUUGAUUCCACCAGACCCAGCUGCUGGUAUGGUCGCCUCUGCCAGUAUCUGCAUGAUCUCAUCCAUGCUCUGCAUUGGCUGUUCGGGCUCCUCGUACUGGCUGCUCAUCUUGCUAUCAUCCAUAAGGUCAGCUGGGAGAUUCUUCAAGAACCAUGGAUGAUUUCUGAUCUCGGGGAUAGAGAUUCUCUGUAUGUCCAAACAAUUGCGAUUUAUAUCAAGAAGGAAAUGAUACAGAAAAGAGGCUAGUAACUAGUACAGUAUAAAGGCAGAGGUACUCACAGUGGCUGGGUUGGCCACAAAAAUCCUCGCAAUAAGAUCUCGGCACUCUGGAGAUAUGUGGACAUAAUCUGGAAUAGAGUACUGCACACCCAAUAUUCUCUGCGAAAAUGAAGAUCAUCGAUCAGUUUUUGUAAUCAAAAUGGUUAUGAAAUUUUGAGACCGUGAUGUUGGAUGACCGCAAUGGAAACCUGAAUUGUCUUCCUGAAAUUCUUAGGCUCAUCUGGAUCCUCAAAAGGAUAUGCACCAACCAGCAUUACGUAGAGGGUUACUCCACACGACCACACAUCAGCAAUCUUUGUUGAGAAACAAAUAUUUAGUCAGCAAUCGCACUGAUGCCUCGCGAAGAAAGUACAAUUGCUUAAGUGGAGAAAAUGGUACAUGUAUGAUGUAUCAAUAUACCAGACUGAGACACCAUGACACCAUAUUCAGGACGCAAGCAUGUAAAUUCAAAUAUAUGAGUACCUUUCCAUCAUAUUCCUUCUUCAGCAGAACCUCAGGAGCGAUGUAUGCCGGAGUUCCAACAGUAGAUUUUGGUUGCGAAUGAAGAACAGACGACUGACAAAUGAAGAAAAAAAAGUCAUGACAUGAUCAGAAUAAAGUUAAAAAAGAUUCCAGGCACAAAUUCCCCGAAAGGCUAAACAAGACACAUGCACAGCUCAGAUUCCAAUUUGGCAUAACAAGCAUGAUAAUGCUGUGGAUCACAACCAGGAGAUAGAACAUAGCAAUAACAUAAUCCAUAAAGCAGAGUAUUCCAUGAGACAUGACAAUACCUUUGAAUAGCCAAAGUCGCAUAUCUUGAGGCGAGGCGCCGUGCUGCCGUCGAGCAGGGUGUUCUCCAGCUUCAGGUCACGAUGGCAUACUUGCUUGACCAAAAAAAAAAAAAAAAAAAAAGGUAACCACAGAAUUUUAACUACCACACAUGGCAUGAUUUCUUGUCAAAAUUUUAAGCUACAAUUAAUUGGUGGAGGCAAAGAAAAGAAUAGAGAGAGGAUGGUGGUGGGCAUCAUACAUACCAUGGAAUGGCAAUAGCUGACUCCUGAAAUCAGUUGCUGGAAAAAGAACCGUGCCUGAAGGAUAGAAAAGACAAUUUUGGAUGGUACAAAGAAAUGGGCAAAAUUUUGGUAGGGUUAUAUAUAUCCGGGAAGAGAGAAAUGGCAAGGUUACCUACCUCGUCCUCGCUGAACCUGCCGGCGUUGCAGAUGCGCUCGAAGAGCUCGCCGCCGGAGGCGUACUCCAUGACGAUGGCGAGGUGGGUGGGGGUGAGGAUGACCUCCUUGAAGCGGAUGAUGUUGGGGUGGCGCAGCGAGCGGUGGUUGAUGAUCUCCCGCUGCACGUUCUCGUCGAUCUUGUCGCCGCGCUCGAUGUACUUGACGGCGACGAGCUGGCCGUCGGCGCGGCUGCGCAUGAGGCGCGCGACGCCGAAGUUGCCGGAGCCGAUGUCCCGCACCAGCUCGUACCGGUCGCCGUCGUGCAUUAUCGGCAUGUCCAUCCCCGGCCCCACCGUCAGCGCCGCCCGGUCCAUCUCUUUUGCCUCCCUCCCUCCCCUCGCCGCCGGCGAAAUCAAUCACCCGCGCGCGCCCGGCACGGCAACCUCCCGUGAAUGAAGCUCUCGCUCCUCCUCCUCCUCCCCUUUUAGGUGUAGCUCCACUACCACUUCGUCUCGUCUCCAGCAGCAAGAAGCUAGUAGGCGGAUGGAUUCGGUUUGGUUGGGGAUUGGGCGGCGGAGCAACCCCUCCUCGUGAUCUCCUCGCCCUUUCUCCCCACCUCGCUUGCCGCUUUUUCCCCCUCAUUUAUUAUUAUUUAUCCUACAUAUAAAAAUCAAUUAUAAUUCAUUAAUUAUUGUUAUUAUCUCAUCCUCUCUGCGUCUCGCCGUUUAUUUUUUUUUUAUCUUCAAUCCUCUCCUCUGCAGCAGCGAGGCGAAGAACUAUCCAGUGGGGAAGAUGACGAGGAGGCGGGGGUGACGUGGGGGGGUUGCCGCCUACGUAACGACACUGCCACAUGGGUCCCACAGGUCGGUGGAAGUUGCCGCAUGUGGGGCCCACGUUUCAGUGGGUAGAUGGGACCUUGGGCUGCUCGUGGGCGCGGGAAAAUAUCGACGGAGGCGACCGGUCAAAAAAGCGCACGCGCGUGGGGUUCAUUCAGGUCGGUAAGGAUCGGACGGUGAUAGACCGGUUUAUUGGGCGAGUUGGACGGCGAGGAUCGACUUGUCGGCUGUGCUGAGAAUGUGAUGGAGCCCCUAUAAAGGGUCAUUUUGGCAGGAGGCAAUUAAGUAGGUCGGUUUCCUUUGCAGAGGGGUGUUUAUAGAUUAUAAUUAAUAUUAUAAUAAUUCUUUCUACAAUCUAAAAAUUUAAAUAUCAAGGUAAGUAUCAUGUCUAUUUGCAGCAUGCAUAUAACUUCCGGUUAACUUGUGGGAUUGGUAGGUCCUAUGUUUGUACGAGAUAAGAGCAUCUGCUGGCAUCCGAAAUUUGGGCAUAGGAGCGUAAAACUGGCCUCUAGCAAAUACGCCAUCGCUCCUCCAAAAGUAGCGCAUGCGCCAAAACGAGAAGAGAAAAGGCAAAUAUAGCAUGUCUCUCUCCCCACGCCAUAUCACAACGAAUCAAGCUUCCGUCCCCAUCCAGAGUUCCGCUCUCCUCCAUCAUCGUCGUCGCCUGAGGGUGGAGAGAGAGGGUGUAGCCGUGGAGUGAGGAUAGAGAGGGAGAGCCAUACCGAAUCUGGUUGGAGAGCGCCACCGGCAGCAGCCGCCUACACCCAACGUUGUCGCAUGCCUCCUCCGCCUACCCGCCGCCCGCUGCCGUGCAUCCGGACCUGUAAUAAAAGAGAAUAAAAGAAUUAGAGAAGAGUAUAGAAGAUUAGAGAAGAGCAGAGAGAAAAAAAAAAGAGAAAACGAGGAAUAAAGUAGAUUUAUGUUACUAUAUUUUUUUCUGCUUUUAUCUUUAUUUUAUUUAAGUUGCUAUGAUUUUUCUCGAUAGGUGAACUCACCGACAGCCGUUGGAAAGCUAGCAAUUGAACACAUCAAAUUGAAAAAAAAAAUGCUCACUCAAUGCAACUAUAUCAAUUAAAAAACUACCAAUUAAAAUUAUAUCCAUUAUAAUUUACUUAUUUCAAAAUAUUAUCACGAUAAAUAACAUCAUUAAUAGUCAUUCAAAAUAUAGCCCCUAAAAAUAAUAUAAAUAUACAAAUAAUAUAAAUAUAAGGUUAGUUGAAAAAUAUUACUAAAAUAUAAAAGAAUAUGAUAUGGAUGACCUAUUGGAUUGAGAAGGGAUACGAAGGAGCUAUCUUUUUUAUGGCCAUCUAUAAAGGUAUAUGAAAUAUCAAUUUUGGAUGAGCUCCUCGGAUGCUCCAAGUGUAUGAUUCUCAAAACGCACAAACAGAAAAAUAAAUUGAAGUGUCCUGACACCUUAAAGUCUACAGAUUUAAUUUCUUUAGAAUGCUAUUCCUAUGAUCCAAUUGACUAUAUAGGAAAACUUUUUAUAUGAUUGAAUUCCUCUUAAAUGCCUUCAGAAGUCCUUUGUUGCAAAAGAGCCCUGAUUGCUUGAUUGCUGCUCAUCAUUCAAUUCAAUUGAAUAUCUCAAAAUAGAUAUGCCCACAGGCCACACAACUCUUGCCUAAGGGCAAUAGCAAUGCGUCACCUAAAAUGCUGGACCUGAUCUGCCACAUAUGCUGAGGAACACUGAGAGGUACAAGCUUCACAAUGCAGUACCUCAAGUGGGGUCCACAAAAAUAUAGUUUUCCUUUUUUUUUUCUCCACCUUUCCGCUCUCUCUCUCUCCCUUUCCUCGAGCCCAACGUUGCUCCUUCCCCUCUCUCACGCUCGAGCGGAGCCGGCACUGAGGCGUUCGAGCGGAGCGGCGGCCUCGACGGCGACGGGGCCGGGCGGAGCAGUGGCGAGUGGAGACGGCGCUGGGGUGGCCGGGCGGAGCGUCGGUGGAUCUGGGGACGACGGCGGUGGCGGCAAGGAGGAGACGACGGCGGCAGUCUUGGCAUGGAGGCCACUCGCUCGGCAGCAAGGAGGCGACGACGGCGGCGGUCUUGGCGGGGUGGCGGGCUUGGCGCUCGACGGCGGCGAACUUCUUGGCCUCCCCUCCUCUCGCAUGGUGGGGACGAGUCUCGAAGAAGGCGUGGCAGCGACGAGUCUCGACGACGGCGUGGCAGCUCGCCAGAUCCAGUGGCGACGGCUCGUCCGGGCGCGGCGCAAGGAUGGCUGCGGCCGUAGUUUCGUCGCUGCCACCAUGGUCGUCGCCGCGCUGCCCUCCUCCCCAGGCCGGCAACGCGGAUCUGGCGGUACGGGGCAACCUCGGAGCGGCCGGCGAGCUCCGGGCGACACGGCGGCGACACGCCCUUCCUGUCCCCCACGACCGCUGGCGCCGCUCACUCCAAUGCCACUCGCAACCGGAGGCUCGAGCGCCUCCCCUCCUCCUCCUCUUCCGGCCCUGCAAGGGCGGCGCGGCCGGCGACCUCGGCUCCCACGGUGGCGACCCCUCUCCUCUGGCUCUCCUCCGACCGGCGUGAAUCGAGCGACGGAGUGGCCGGCGAGCUUCAGGUUGAGCGGAUCGGGGGCGGUGUGGCCGGCGAGCUCCGAUGGCAGGGACGAGAACGAGCUCAACGGCUGCGGACAGCGACGACGGGCUAGGCGGCUGGCAUGGGAAGGAGGGUGAUGCCACUCGCUCCACAACGCGGAAGCAGCGUCGUCUCCCAGCUUCAUUCGUCCUCUUUUUCGCCAAGAACCAGUGGCCAUCUUUGAACACUCGAACCUCAUUCUGGUGGGCCUAGAAGCAGACGUGGCGUGUGCCCUCCUGCUUUGCCGACGUGGAAUGGCGAGGGAGAAUGACACAUCACUGCAUUGUAAAUGGCCUAAUGGUAAGCUUGUAUCGCUGCCGUCAGCUUCCUUGUAGAGUUUGUGUUCACCAAUGUACUUGAUGACUUCAUCACGAAUAAUAAGAUAUUUAAUUGAUAGGCAUCUUCUUAUGCAUUCUCUGUAAUUUGAUAUUGCAAACAAAUGCAGGGCUCGCAUGUCAGUAUUCAAUUAAUAGAGGGUGUUAGGAAUAUAAGAAUGUCAUAUGAUAAACCUCGGAAAGAACAUACCUUACUCUGGAUGAACUUAUUUGAUUUGGAACAAUCUCUUCUUGCGUCAAAAAAAAAAUCUCUUCGACCAUGAUAUUGUCCUGAAAACGAUUCCAUAAAGCGAAUAUGUAAACGAUACAAGAGAAGAUAACUAAUUUACUGUAAACUCCUCAAGUUAGUCAUUCCUACUCUGCAUUCCUGCAGUAUCUCACUGUUGGAUAUUAGUUUCUCAGCAUCUUUUCCUUCUGUCUGAAUGCAAACAACACCAAAGUCCUUACAUAUACAGGGGCGGAUCAGAACAAGAUUUAAGAGAGGACCCAUCUCCUUAUUCCUUCUUUAGUCCCCCUACUCUUUAUUUUUUUUUUCACUGUUCUUCCCCUUUCAUCUUCCCUUCUAUCAAUGGUGAUCCAGCGGGGUAGGGGAGACUCGAGUCCCCCAGCACCCACGCUGGAUUCACCCCUAUACAUAUGGGACGUCCAGCCUCAUCUUUUCAUUUAUGCUUAUGCUUAUCAGCUAAAGUUUGAAUUUUCAACCUUAAAUUUAAAGUUGAUUUUGGAGUUUUUCAUCGAAGUUUAUUUUUCAGCAAUAAGAAUACGUAUAUAAAAGUUUUUUUUCAUAAACUAUUUUUCGUUUGCAAAUAUGUCGUUUGGCUUAUCCCCCUAAAAAGCAAAACGAUGGGACCACUCAUCUUUUCGCUUAAGCUUAUGCUUAUCAGCCAAAAUUUGAAUUUUUCAACCUUAAAUUUGGAGCUGAUUUUGAGGUUUUUUUUAUCGAAGUUUAUUUUUCAGCCUUUUCUUUUACUCCCUCCGUCCCAAAAUAUAAGCAUUUUUAGCAUAGUGACAAGUCAAACAUUUUUAACUUUGACCAAUAAUAGUAAAAAAUAAAAAGAUCAAUCAUGUAAAAUUGAUGUUACUAGAUUUAUCAUUAAACAAACUGUCAUAAUAUGCAACUCACUUUUAUUUAAAACAUUUAUUUUUAUAGAUAUUGUUGGUCAAAGUGGCAUCUCGUAUACCGUGUCAGGAUAAAAAAUACUUAUAUUUUCGGACGGAGGGAGUAGAUCGUUAAGAACACGUAUAUAAAAGUUUUAUUCACAAAUUAUUUUUAUUUGCAAAUAUGUCAUUUCGCUUGGCUCAGCUUUCUGACUUGGAAACAGAAGUGGGUGUCAUCAAAGUAAGCUCUUCCAUUUAAGUGAAUUAUGCAAAUUUUUUCAGCGUCAUAUAGUCACUCACACGUAGUACAAUUUCGAAUUAAAUGUGAAAAUAUACUUUUUUUUAAUAAUUUGCAUUUAUAUACGUCGGAGAUAAAGUUUUGCGCAAAUAUACCUUCCUCGCGCGCUGGGAAAGCAGGAACGAGAUGGCAGCGCGGGAACGCGGUGGCGCGGACUGGGGGUGCGGGACCGGCUCGGUCACGUGGACUGGGGGUGUGGAACCGAGUCAGUCCCGCGGCGUGGCUGUGCGGAGUGGUGGUGGCAGCGGGACCGGCCGCCUGGCCGGCCGAUCGCGCGGAGUGGAGGCGCGGGACUGAGACGGUCCUGCAACCCCAAUCGGCGGCACCCACGCACUCCGUGGCGCCCGCCUCCUAGACCGGUCGCAAGGCACGGGAUUGAGGCGGUCCCGCAGCGCCAUUCUGUGGCACCGAGCCGCCGGUCCCACAGCCCAGCUCCCGUCAACCACACUCCCUCUUUUUCCAAUUUUAAGUCCAACUAUAAGUUUCUAUGCCCAAUUUAGAUGGUUCAUUUUAUUUAAAUUUUAUUAUUAUUAUUAUUAUUAUUAUUAUUAUUAUUAUUAUUAUUAUUAUUAUUAUUAUUAUUAUUAUUAUUAUUAUUAGAUGAUAAAACAUGAAUACUAAUUUAUGUGUGACUAAUGUUUUUAUUUUUUUUAAAUAAGACAGACGAUCAAAGUUGGCCACAAAAAAUCAUGGCAUCACCCUAGGACGGGAAUGCACAGCUACUCCGCGCCUCCAUUCCGCGGGACCGCACCGAAAGUUGUUUUGUCCACUGAAAGUUCUUUGUCCUCUCGCUCCAUGUGACAUGCUCAGCCACCAGAAACAAAGAGAGAGUGAUGCUAGCUUUUUUCACGUGUUGUUCGCCGAAAGUUUGUUGUCGUCUGGUUAGAGAGCCUACUCGACGAGUGCCUAUAAAAUGAACGUUUCGAAACGAAAGAAGCAGACUCAACUAGAGCAAAUAACUCAUAUCCGUAGAGCAAAUAACUCAUAUUCCUAGAGUUUAUCAUUGGUGUAAGCUUCAAUAGGUUAGUGCGCUUGGCGAAUUCACAGGCCCUAUCUUGUGGUAUGAACUGGGUACGCGAUGAUUUGCACUGCGUAUUGGGGGCUUACCAUAAGAUAAUGCCAUGAAUUUGUCAAGCGUUCAAACCCACUGAAAUGUUGUGUGAAGGUAAAUAUUUCAAAGUGUUCAUGAAGAAAAGGCAGGUAAAUAUUUCGUUACUUCCCCGUGACAUGCUAAGCCAGAAACAAUCUCGCUGCAUGUGAUAUGCUCAGCCAGAAACAGAAACAAAAGAGAAAAAGAGAGUGAUUCUUCCCAGCUUUUUUCAUGUGUUGUCUGGUUAGAGCCUACUCGUUGAGUGCCUAUAAAAGGAACGUUACGAACGAAAGAAGCAGACUCAAGAAUAGUAUAUCAUUGGUGUAAGCUUCAAUAGGUUAGUGUACUUUGCGAAUUCACAGGCCCUAUAUUGUGGUAUGAACUGAGUACGCGAUGAUUUAUGGUGCAUAUUGGGGGCUUACCAUAAGAUAAUGCCAUGAAUUCGCAAAGUGUUCAAACCCACUAAAGUGUUAUGUAAAGGUAAAUAUUUGUAAGUAUUCGGGAUGGAAAGGCAGGUAAAUAUUUAAAGUUUAUUAAUUUAGAAAUGUAGCUGAGACAUUAGAAAGUUUUAACACACAACAUUACAUAUUAGUUUGAAUGAGCAAAAUAUAAAAGCGUUCUACUCAUUAGCCUCAUCAUCGAAAUUUCGUGACGUGUUAGUGUCCUUUUUCUUUCCCUUUCUUCUAGCACCGGUUGGAGGUCUGCAUCCUGACAAAGAUAAUCUUUUAGGUGAAUGUCGCUCGCGGACAGACCUACGGACCACCUCAACACCGCUGAGAUCAACGUGGCCGUAGUUUUGGGUCGCUGAGUUACUGGUGGCGAUUCAUCAAGCUGUGACGGUCCUAUCUCGUGUUGUGCUGUUGACGACCCCCCACCGUAGCUAUAUGGUUCUCCGUAGGACUAUGUGCUGCCAGCAUAUCCCAUCAUUUGUUCAGGGUUGUACAUUCCUACAAAACAUUGAAUGCAAAGUUGUAGCGUACACACAUAAUGGAAAUAAAAUAUUUUGUAGUAAAUUAUAAUUUGUACCUAUUGUUUGUGGUUGCAUGAUAGGUGGUUGACUAAACAACCAAUCUCCAUGGAGGUGGUUGACUAAACAACCAAUCUCCAUGGCCUAACAUUUCGAGAAAGCUUGGUCCUUGUGGUGGUGUGUUUUCAUUUAUGGACAUUUGGUACAUCCCCUGCAGGUGCAGCGCUAAUUUAAUAUCGCAAUAUAAAGAUCGUAAAACACAUUAUGUACGAACAUGUGUUGUAUGUGGGAGCUCCUUGCCACUGAUCGUUCAUACCCGUUGAAAACACGGGCAUGUUAACUUGAGGUACACCUGCAAAAAUAAGCAAAUAUGUGCUUGACUCAGUAAAUUACAAAAUGAUGAACAUUAACAUGUGUGUUUAUUGAACUACCGGAAAACGCUCCUUGGAAUUGCGAGCUUCCAGCUUCUGUAUGCAUUGGGGGAACCAUUUGGCUGGAUCCUGCGAACCGCACAAACCCUCCCUGCCAUUGAUCAGUGGUACUUGUAUGCGGAAUAGAAGGGAUCACCGCUGUACUACCUGCAAUAAUCUCUACAUGUGAAUAUUGAAUUCGAAAAUAGCACUAAUUUUGUUCAGAAAACAAAAGGCGAGACCACCACAUAAUUUUAGUGAAUUUGGAAAAUUAGUCCAUAAAAAUAGUGUGUCCAGUACUUUUAGAGAAAAUUCCCUAUCUAGCAUCAAAAAAAGUUGCUCUUCCCUCUAUAGCAUCCAAACUUAAAAAGUUCCCUAUCUAGGCACUUCUAAAAUUUCCCUUCCCUAUGUAUCACUUCCGUUAGUUUUUACACUUGACGGUUUUAACUAGCAGGAGAAAAGACGCUUUUACCCUUCUUUAGUUUUCAGACUUGCCUGUACAUUAUGUUAGUUACUAAUUACUUAAGUUAAUUAAUGACAAGUGAAACCACAAGAGGAUAAUUAUUUUUUUCAAAAGAGUGGAUCGACAUGUUAUAUUUGCAGUGUUACGUUAAAUCAAGAGAAAACAUGUCGAAAAUACCAACGAUCAUGUACGGGCAAGUCUGAAAACUAAAGAAGGGCAAAACCGUCUUUUCUCCUGCUAGUUAACACCGUCAAGUGUAAAAACUAACAUAAGUGCUACAUAGGGAAGGGAAAUUUUAGAAGUGACUAGAUAGGGAACUUUUUAAGUUUGGGUGCUAUAGAGGGUAGAGCAACUUUUUUUUAUACUACAUAGGGAAUUUUCUCGUACUUUUAAGUCCCUAGAUUAAAUUAGCAUUGGGUACAACAAUUAAUUCUAUAAGUUAGGCCACUUGUACUUCAAUAAAAACUGUGCAUGAAAAAGAGCUAAAUUUUUGGACGAUUUUCAUAAUGAUACGUACAGAUUUUGGUUUAAUUUACAGAAAGGUUACCAUAACUAUAAUGAUUAAAAAUAGCACCAAAUAUAAUUCAUAAGUUUUCAUAUACAUACGUGCGAAUGCUAGAUUAUAUAUAAUAGUAUUAGAUGAGAAGUUAACAAGCUAUCUGUGCGAAACUAUUUUCUGAAACAGUUUUACCCGGUACCGAUGUGAACCUUGAUGCCACUGUGAUCCUCCUGUUGUUGUUUGUAUAGGCCUAGCCACCUGAUACCUGUGAAGAAUCUUUUAUUUACUAUGAGAUGCUCGAAAAAUAUUUGUAUCCUGCAGCUCGUUCUCUCCGAUAUAUCCAAGAUCUUCACGGUUCCAUGAUGCUGGAACAGGUUGGACUUCGUACUCAUCAUCAUCUGCCUCUUCAUCCUCCUCCUGAGCCAAGUUAGCUUCAUCCUCACGAGCAUGCCUAUCAACCCUCUUGUCACACCCGGAAUUUCUAUCCAAAAUUCCAAACGCUUACAUGUGUGUGAACCCUCGUCCAGGAAUCAGCCGAGGCACACAAUAACAAAUUGAUAAUAGAGUACAAUUAUUACUCUAAUUAAUAAGCGAAUAAAAUGUCAUUACAGAGGUAGAUAGUUCCUCUCAAUCAAUAAAGAUCUAAGCAGCGAAAAAAUAAGAUAAACGGCGCAGACGACUCCACUCCACAGGCAGCUUGACCAGGGCUACACCUAAUCCUCCACACCAUCAGCAUCACUGUAGAACUCCUCCUCUGAUGAAUGAUUGCAAGGUGAGUAUAUGACAUACUCAGCAAGCCACGCAGCAAAUAUGCAAGUGCACAGGAUAACAAAGGAUGGCAAAGUAGGGUUUCAUUUGCAUAAACAGCAUUUAAUAAACAUUUCAGAAUUUAAUAAAAUAGUUAAGUAGUAAUUAAACAAUAUUAAUCCAACGCUAUACAACAUACCCUGUUGCAUAGGCCCAACCAUUCUGAACAACCAUCCCGGCUGCACAGUUCUAUCUCCAAACCAGGAAUAUACCAUUCCAAACCAGGAGCUAAUCAAAUUAUUACCAGUUAUAGCAUCUUUUAUUAUGGUGAGAAGUGUGAAACUAAUCACGAAAGACAUUGUUAGACCCGCCCAUAACCGCGGGCACGGCUAUUCGAAUAGUUUUACUCUGGCCAGAGGUGUACCACUGUACCCACAAGACACAGCCCCACAACAUGUCACCAUGCACCUCAAUACCACCACGGUAUCUCAGAAAUGAGCUGUGACAGUACCCCUCGCACAACACAAUCCACCACAGCGCACCAUUCCUGGAUCAUAAUCACCCCCUUAUAAACAAGGCAUGGACUCCCAGUGGGCUUAUCUCCGCCACUUCUCAGUCUGGUGCUCCGCAAUGAACCAUGCUAUACAAAAGGUAAAGCUGUUGCCCACGCUGGCUUGUGGUUGGCACGGUUAAUGUUUCACAACCGAAACUCGUGAACCGGUCCUUAAUUGUCAUGAGCACGGCCAUCAAAACCAUGUGCUCACAACCCACCAUUAUCAGGUUUUAGUUGGCAAAUUAAUUAAUUAACCAGUCAUGAUUAACCAUCAUGAGCUAUCAUUAAGCCAUCAUUAAAUAAUAGUGAGUCAUAAGUUAUCCCAAUAGUGUGCUAAUGUUUCUAAGCAUGGCUAAGCAAUCAUAUCUAAUAUCUAGUUGAACCAAUAUAUAAAGCCCAACUAGUCAAGUUAUAAUAACCCAAGGUAUCAAGGAAUAAAGUAAUCAAGAACAAAAGGGCUAUAACAAACAAUAGGUUAAUUCCACCCAAUGACAUUCGAAAAUAAAUGCAAUAGUUGAAUAGAAACAAUAGCCUUAAACGGGAUCAACAUGCUCAAAGGGUUGUUUGGGAUCUGUGUGACUUGCCUUGCUGGCCUUGGAACUCUUCAAAAUCUUCUCCUGCAAACUCAGACUCUCCGGAAACGUCGGAAUCUAAAGAGAAAAGGGCAAAAUCACCAAAACAGCACAUAAACAAGCAUGAACAGUACAUGUGGAUAUUUUUAACAUGUAGAUCUCAAUUUUAGAAAAAAUUAGAGACUUGAACCAACUAAAUCCGAGCUAAGAUGAAUUAGUUAUGAAUUUUUAAGGAUUAAAUCAGAUUAAAACACUUAUAUGGGUUUUAAUUGAAUUAUGACACAAUAAUGAAUUAUUUUUGAAAAGGAAAAGGGAAUUAUUGCGUCAGCGGCUAGGGUUCGCGGUGGACCGGGUGCACGGCAGCGGCUCACGGAAACGAACGGCCGAGAUCGAUCCUAUCCACAACGAACGGCCAAGAUCUAACGGUCUACGACCGGUCUACGACGGACGGCAACGAUGACGUCGGCGAUGACGUCAUCACCGGCGGCGGCUCGGGCGCGCAAGCUCGCCGGCGAACGACGGCACGACAACGCGAACGGAGGACACCAACACGUAGAGGGCGACGUGGCGAACUCACCGGUGACCAAAACAGCGGCAGAAGAUCAGCGGACGGCGACGGCGUCGAGGAAGAAGCGGCGGUGACCUUCAGCUUGACGACGACGGCGAUUUUCCGGCGACCUACGGCGACGACGGAGGGGUGGACGAGAUCGGCGACGGCUUGGUGACCACGACGGUGACCUCCCAGAGCAGCGACAACGACCGGAGCGACGGCGGCGCACGGCUGGAGCUGCGGCGGCGACGGCGGCGCACGGCUGCACGGUGCUAGGGCGCUACAGAUGGCGGCGGGCAAAGGCGAGGGUGGCGACGGAUAGCGGAGACACCGGGGGUCCUUUUAUAGUGGCAAGGAGGCGGCGGCGAAGGCCCACGGCGACCGGCGACGCGAUGGAAGGUUUAGGGUUUGGAGGAGAGAGAUCAAUCCGAAUCAAACUCGAAUCCACGGAUUUCCAAACCGAAUUGGCGAUCGAUUCCAAAAGGAAAAAGGUAGAGAAGAUCCCGGGGAGCAUUUCCCCUCAAACGAUUUCACCGGAUCGGGAAAGAUGCGGCCGAAUUGGAAAGGCGGCGGCGGCGCGGCGCGGCUAGGGUUUCGGCGCGAGGAGGACGACGAGUCCGACAGGUGGGACCCACCUGUCAGCGGCCGAGCGCGCGCGCGCGGGCGGCUGCGGGCUGACUGGGCCUAAGAGGAGAGAGAGGGAAGGUUUUGGGCCGACUUUCGGCCCAAAGCCAAAAGAGAACUUUUAAAACCUUUUCCAAUUUAAAUUAUUCAUGAAAUGCAAUUCCAUUUAUUAAAAAUACUUCCUUGGCUCAAAUAAAUCCCAGAAAACUCCAGGAACUAUAGAAUCAAGCAAAGUAUUUAAUGAAAUUUUAUCUGGCCCCAUUUUAUAUUGGAAUUUAUUAUUUAAAAUUAGAUUUUCUCUUCUAGGCUUUUAAAAUCAUUUCUAAUAAUUCUAAUUAAACAACAAUUUAUAUAUUUAGGAUUUUUAGGGUGUGACACCUCUCAAUCUCGUCCACUGUAGCAUUUAUCUCUUCCCCUUUCAUCGGCUUCACCCAUCGCAUGUUGUUGCACCGUGCUCGGCAAUUCUGUUUGUUCAACUUGUUCGAUAUGCAGGCUCUGCAUGUCAAUGCCGAUAUUGUCCUCAUUAUGCUGGGAGACUUCCACAUUAAAUGCACUCGAUUGAGCACAUGCAUCUCCCUGCAUAUUGAACUGACCAAACGAACUGUUUGGUCGAGCCCUCCUCGGACAAGCCUGCACCAACAUGGCCAUCUUGUAUCCUCGGCGUCUGCAACCUUGCAACCAAUCCUUUCAUGAUUGACUUCGGGUUACUUCUUUCAGUUGCCAUUGGAUGUUUGUGCCCGAAUGACUCCAUAGCAGACUGACAUUAACACUAUAAACUUGUGGGUCCAAUGAGAAUGAGAAUGUCAACCAGUACCACACUUCGGGCAUUGUUAGAUUGUCCGGAUUUGGGUGAUACAGUGUGCAUUGACUAAAGUUGCUCAAGUCAACACCCAUUUCGUUGGACAUAAUAUCCCCAUCGCCAUAAUAUACUCUAAAGUUUGCUAUUCCUAAACAAAUAAACAAUUGCAUUACAUACGACCCAACUCUAAUCACACUAUAAGAAAUAUUACGAUAUAUGACUAAAAGUCGUAAAGUUAACUCUUAAUCAAAACUAUAGUAGUGAGUACGAGGUUGAUGAGAACGAUACUCACAAAUGAAGAUAUGGAUUAUGUCAUUUUCAUUUUGUAUGUGAAGCAUUUUGACGGCCUUUAUUAAACUAAAGGUUGGUGACAUACCUAUAAUUGAGUUUUUUUUAACAAAAUUUGGAUAUUAUUUAACAUAUGAAACUAUUGAAAAUUGAAUGACCUUACAAUUAAAAACAAAAUUCCCUUAAUAAAUCAUUCUUAUAUAUUUUUUUAUUAAAUUUUCAAUAUAUUAAAACACUCCCUCAAACUUUCUUCCAACUGUUCAAUCGAAGGAUUUAAUUUUUACAUCGCAAACAUCAUUUUAGCAAUUAGUUUAAAUGAAAAACAAAUCAAAUCCCUCCAUCACUGUUGGGCUGAUUUCGGCCCAUUUCCUACACUCAUCUGAUGGUGGGCUGAAAUCAAAAUGGGCUAAAAUCACCAAAGACUAGAGUUCAAUAGGUGGCUGAUUUUACCCACUUCCCUACACCAUGCUCCUCAAAUGGGCUGAAAUCAGCCCAAUACUAAUUGGGUAUUUUCUUUGCUUUUAUGUUUUUAAUAAUUGCUGAAAUUAUUAUUGCACUUUUAAAAUUACCAAUAUAGCUUCGAAAAUUUCACGAUAAUUCCAUAGAGUAUUUUAGUUCAUGGAGAAUUUCAGAAAAUUAACUCACACCAUGAUUUCUUAAGAAAAUUUAUUCCCUUGUUCAUUUUAUUAUUUUAAAUGAUUUGCACAUUUAGUGAAUCCCUAAAUCAAGUUUUAAUUUCAUAUUUCAAAGGUUAAGCAACAAUUAUAAUAUCAUAUUAAUAUAUGUUCGCUGGUUUACUAUCCAAAUGUAACAAAUGGUUCAUGGAUACAUAUUAAUGUAUUCAAAUUUUUUUACAUUAAUUUUCCACGCAACGCGUCUCUAAAUACUAUUGAAAUUUAUCCACGUAUUAUGUACAAUAAAACAUAAUACUCAACUAAUUUUGUUUCUAAAUACUCAACAUAAUACUCAACUAUUGAAAUUUGUCUCUAAAUGCAGCAAAUUUAACAACAUAAUAAUAAUUACCAAGUUUAAACACAUAAAAAUAUAUACAUGCUUACCUCUAUGUCUCCUAUUUAUUUAUCGUCCUUCUCCGAACUUGUAAUUUCUAAAUUUAAUGCACCACGUUCACACUUAUAACCUUCAAAAUAAUGAAUAUAUGUCAAUAAUAAAUCUUGCAAAAUCCAUACUAUUUAUAUCAAUCCCAACUGUCGUGCAAGUUACCUCUAAAUUUUGUUCUUUCAUUUGCCGUAUUCACUCUCAAAUGGUACACUCAACUUAAAAAUAUUUCUUACCACAUUCAAUUAUUCACGCGGCACGGCUCUAAAUACUAAUUAAAAUUUUCCCCUUACUAUGUACCCAAAAACAUAAUACUACAAUCAUUCUAAUCAUUCUAUGUACAUACUAAACUAAUAUAUUUUUUACCCAUUUCUCUAUCUUGUUCAGAUAUCGUACAUACAACUAAAGAAAUUUCGAUAUAUAUAUAUAUAUAUAUAUAUAUAUAUAUAUAUAUAUAUUUCUCCCCACGGCCUAACACACUAAUAAAAAUUUAUGCACAUCUUAUGUACAACAAAUAUAAUACUAAACCCAUUCUAUAUUCAAACUACAUUCAUACUACAUAUUUAUCGACUUCUAACGUAAGUGGUACCUAAAAUUUCUAAACAUGCCAUAUAACCAAACAAUUUAUAUGUAAUAUAUGAACACUAUCUAAAUUAUAACUUAUCCAAUACACUAAUAAUUACAUCUAAUGCACAAGCCAUCGCCACGUAUACUUGAUAAUAUUUAUAUUACUAAUUUACCUCUAUUUCUUCAAUUGUUGGAAGCUCACCAAAAUGUUUUCUCUAGCUCUCGUCUUUUUCACAAUGCUACUCUCUCUUCUGCAGGAGUAGCGUCUCCUCUCUUUUGUGCAGCUCUUGUGUGAGGGGCAUCACAUCUCUCACCCUCCCUCUUAGUUUAUGGGGUGAGCUUCAAACGAAAAGAAAAGACAUGAUUGACGUUUUUACUGUAUUGACGGCGCGGAUUUAUAUUUUGUCUACCUUUAGCAGCAGCACGCAUCGUGGGAGACAACUUCACGUGAAUGAGAUGACAAAGGAAGCACGCGGGAGCGGCACGGAUCUGCAUGCGGCCAAGUGGGAGCAUCGGUCCCGCGCUCCCGGAAUGAGCGACCACCACGGUCCCGCACAACCAAGGCACGCGACGGCCUCGGUCCCGCACGACCGGUGCGCGCGACUGCCCUACCCCCCUCCCUUCUGCGCAAAAGUUUAGGAUUCUCAGUUUGUUUUAACUGUGUGCAAAAUUUUAGGAAUGAUUGGACCUAAAGUUUAGGAGUGGUUGAUUUGUUUUAACUACACACAAAAGUUUAAAAGUGAUUGGACCUAAAGUUUAGGAGGGGUUAAUUUAAGAGCAGUCCCGCGUUUCCAAUAUGUGGCACUGUGGUGCGCGGGACCGAAGUCCGUCCUGCAUAAGCAUUCUGCGGGACCAAGCUGGUGCCGACCGGUCCUGCAAACCACCGUGAUGUCGCAUGCCCAAUGUGCGGGUGCGCCCCGGUGCCGCAUGCCCAAUGUGCAGGACCGCAUCCUCCAACGUGCGUGACUGCUGCGGGCACAGGUCCCGUGUCCCAAAUUCGCGCUUGCGCGUCGCUCCUGCAUCGCCGCGACACGGGUUAGAUCUAUUUUCGCAAAACUUGCCAUGGAUGUAUAUAAACGCAAAUUAUGCAAAAAAAAAAAAGGUAUAUUUUCAAUUUUUUUUCGUACAAUUGCCGCUCUCAUUCAUAACCAAAAACCUUGAUUAUUCUCGCUGCGUGUAUCCCAUUCCCACCCGCCCACCACAUAUCCUUUUCCUUUUCUUUUCUUUUAUUUUUUUUUGUUUUUUCCCGUUGGCCGGCCGUGCGGCCCGUGCCUCCUGCUAUAGUGCUAUCCAAACUGCGGUCCCGCCGGAGCCACGGGCCACGGCUACCCCUCGACCGCAUCGCCUCCUCUCCUCGCGCCCUCCGCCGCCGCCGUAGCCUUCUCCCCUCCCCUGUGCGGAAUCCUCCACGCGCGCACGGCCGGCGACCAGGUUUGUGCUGGUAAUCAUCCCUCCCUCUCUCCACUUCAUGAAUCAUGAGUAGACGCCCUGGCCAACGAAUCCAAGAAUUGUUUAAUUCUGCAUAGGGAUUUAGGGAGACGGGUGCUUUCGUGCUCUCCUAACGGUGUGAGUUUUUUUUUUUUUGGGUGGAGAGAAAUGUGUGCAUAUAUGAUCUAGUGUUGGUUGUUUACUUGUUGUCUAACCUUGUUAAUUUGUUGGAAUUGUGCGAGAACAGGGAACUUCAGCAUGCAACAAAUGGCCGUAUCUGCAUUCACUGCAAACCCAUCCUCAUCACAUGGCAAUACCUUAUCGGGGUUGUGCUCCCGUCGGCCUGAGAUAUGGCACAGGAGACGCAUCGGCAGCAGAAUUCGGGCGCAGGCGCAGUCGCAGAUGCAGUAUCGGAAGCUGGGAGAUUCAGACCUUGUCAUCAGUGAGGUCACUCUUGGAACAGUAUGUGCAUAUAUAACUGGAGAUCAUGUUUCCUGCUCUUGUUGUUUUUUACAUUUAAUUUUACAUCCCAUGCUAAUCCUGCUUUUUGUUCAGAUGACAUUUGGAGAGCAAAACACGGAGAAGGAAGCGCACGAUAUUCUUUCUUAUUCUUUCGAUCAAGGUGUCAAUAUCCUUGACACAGCAGAAAUGGUUAAUUAGUACAUUCCUUCUGUUUUCUUUUCUCCUGAUUUACGGAGCGGCAAUUGCUUUAGUUUUUCAUUUUGUAACAGCCUUUCUCCAUUUCGCCUUUAGUAUCCAGUGCCACCCAGAAAAGAGACUCAAGGAAGAACUGAUCUAUAUAUAGGCAGUUGGAUGCAAUCAAAGCCACGAGAUAAGGUAACUAAAAUAAGCUCUUGCAUUUAUUAUCACAUACUAAAUUAAGAAAAAAUAGGUAGGAACUAUGGCAUUCGCUAAGAGGAAUAUGGGCGUUCAUGUCAGAUAUACAAUUUGAAUCCAUGCGUGGGAAGGUUAAACACAGCCUGUCAGCCUCCACAGGAUAAUAGCUAUAGUCACUCAGGAAAUUCAUCAUCUUUAUUCAAUUUAAUAUGAUCAUUCUUUAACUUUGGUGUUUAGGGUCUAGGUAGCAUAAUUAUACUAACUGCAAUAAGUUGAAGAGUAUAAGUAAAUACAACUCAGACUUCACUACGAACAGUUCCCUGAAUGUCCAACCGAUGAUGGAAUAUCUGGCAGUGUUACUGAAACAUUGUGUUUGCGUGGUUUGUUUCUGUGCACCUAGAUUAUUCUAGCCACAAAAGUUUCAGGUUACUCAGAGCGAUCUACUUUUCUCCGGGACAAUGCGAAAGUAGUUCGUGUUGAUGCUGCCAAUAUCAAGGAAAGUGUCGAAAAGAGUCUUUCCCGCUUAUCUACAGACUACAUUGAUUUACUCCAGAUACACUGGUUAGUGCCUUUUUUUUUCUCGUAUAAUUUAGACGUCCUUGGCCAGCUUGAUUCGCACAAUCAUUUUCAGAAUGCAUAACCAUUCAUCGGAUUCUUUCAGCUAUCAGUUGUUUAUCUACAUAGCAUAUGGAAAAGUAUAUUUCUUUCAAAUAUUAUUUUCCAUCUGACGGGUAUAUACAUUAUUGCAAGAAGAAAAUUUAGUUUAUGUAUUAACAAGGACAUGUGGUGUCCUUUUUACCUACUGUUUCCUGUUGUUCCUGCUACUUUUGAUCUUAUUGCACUUACCUAGGGAUACAAAAUAUCUUUGGCUCUCAGUGUCUUGUAAUUUGCACUUCUCUAUUCUUAUCUUCCCAUACAAGAUUUAAUACAUUAUCUUAAAUUUUGUCAUAUAUCUGACACCGUGACUACCUAGCAAUUUUCCCUUUGGAAAGUAUACCAAUACAAAUAAUAUAUAUGACGAAAUUAGUGCACAUGUGUAUUCGAGAAAAAAAUGAUGAAAAUGGAAAUUGUAAAUUUGAGUUCUCUUUUCACCACUCAAUCCAUUGCCUGAUAUAAAUUGUUUUAGUGUAUCUGCUAUCUUAACAGAAAUACCGUGAGCUAUUUAACUAUUCACUUACACUUGUUUAGAUAGAAGUUACUCUCGUUAUACUUAUGUGUUUGAAGUUUCUAUCUUCACAACGAUGAACAAACAAGACUCAUCCAGAUGUUUGUUUUAUAUCUUCAGGCCAGAUAGGUAUGUUCCACUAUUUGGUGAAUACUGUUACAACCCAACCAAAUGGAGGCCAAGUGUUCCAUUUGAGGAACAGUUGAAAGCUUUCCAAGAGCUAAUUGAUGAAGGAAAGGUAAUGCAUUUAUACUGCAUCUUCACUUUUUGCACUUAGAAAGGAUUUUCUGUCAGUGAGUGGGACCGGUGGAUUACAAGUUUACAACCAUGUAGCUUCAUGCCUGCCCCUCAUAUGAGCCACCUUUCAACAGGGCAUGACACUUAUAUCUUUUAUCAUCCAGUUAAAGAUGUGUAUUUUUUAUAACAUAUGAGCGCAUGUAACUGUUGUCUUGGUAGAGGUGCAUUUGACUAGUUUCUAGUUUUUUUUUUUUUUCAAAAACUCACAGCAUAUUUAGAGUUUGUGAAUAAUGGCAAGUUGUAAACCAUUGUUUAAUUUGAUUUUAAUCACCGUUCUAGGUUCGCUAUAUUGGUGUUUCCAAUGAAACUUCAUAUGGAGUGAUGGAGUUUGUACAUGCUGCAAAGGUUCAAGGACUUCCAAAGAUUGUGAGCAUCCAGAACAGUUAUAGUCUAAUUGUGAGAUGUCACUUUGAAGGUUAAACUGAUAACAUUUAUCCGUUCACUUUAUUCAUUGCAAGACUCUUUCAUGCUCUUGGUUCUGAGCUUAAGUAUGAUAUAUCUUUGCCAUAUCUUUUGUUCAUAAACAUUGGUUACCUUGCCUGUUAUCUCCAACAAACAUGAGAUGCAGAUAAACAUUCAUUGUUAGAUAACUUAAUUUAUUGCUUUUCUUGAUUUAAGAUAAACCUAUUAAGCCCUAGCAAAAGCAAAAAUGAUUUAUACCAGUGUACUGGAUUUAUUCACAUAGUGGACAUUCACCAAAUUUUGUUUUUGAGCAGUUGACCUUGUUGAAGUGUGCCACCCAAAUAACUGUAAUGUUGGGUUGCUUGCCUACUCUCCAUUGGCUGGAGGUGUUCUCACUGGGAAGUAUAUUGAUACUAACCCUGACAUAUCAAAGAAGAGCAGGCUAAAUCUCUUCCCUGGAUACAUGGAGCGCUACAAUGCAUCGUUGGCUAAAGUAUGUGUACUCUACUCCAUCAAAUACUUCAACCAACAAACCAGUUAAAUCAAAACAUUUUCCGAUUCAUUUCUCAUCUGUCCAGUUUAUCAAAAUAUUUUUUUCUGUUCAUUCUCACCCGUAAAUGGUGACUUGCUGAUUGGUGCAUUUGUUUUGACAGGAAGCAACGAAUGAAUAUGUCAAGCUUGCCAAGAAGCACGGCCUAACUCCAGUCCAGCUUGCACUGGGCUUUGUGCGUGACCGUCCAUUCACAGCUAGCACAAUCAUCGGAGCAACGACCAUGGAUCAGUUGAAGGAGAACAUUGAUGCAUUUACCAGUGCUCCACGGCCUUUGGCACCGGAAGUUCUUGAUGACAUCGAAUCCCUCUUCAAGAGAUACCGAGACCCAACACUUUCGUAGGUGAGGAUAAAGAAAAAAGAACGCUUUCGUAGGUGUUUAUUCAUCUUUUUUUCCUAUGAAUGUGCCUUCCACAGACAGGAGCCCAGAAACUAGUUGUGCUUUUGUGGUUUCACCGUAUCAUCCAUGCCAACAAGACAUGGAUUUGUCUAUUCUGUUGAUUUUAUGAUUAAUGGCACCACAAAUUUUUUUUCCCAUCAGUAUUUUGCUGCUCUGGAGACGUUUUUAAUUAUGAUCACUCACUGUAAGUGUUUAAGUCCCACAGGAAGGCAUUCAUAUACCUCAACUAAAAUGUGUUUGAGGUUUAAUCAACUUAUCACCAAAGGACAUCCAUGUGCAGCUUGAAAAUUACAACUGGAUGAAAGAAAUGCAUUUCUACAGCUUCAUUGUUGCUCCCCUUACCGGGGAAUUUACCCCUGCUUACCUGCAUAAAUGAAAGCUGUUACAGGAUGCACCGUGUGUCGGCAUCACAUCUUUGAGAUGUGCUAUGAAGCAUGAGAUAUAGUACUGGGCGACUUACUGCCCACUGAACGUUGGUUGCUAAAAUAUGAACCCACAAGCUGGGUGACUCACAUGUCAGUCACUUAAAAUUAAAAUAAGAGGUUGUAAGUUAGAACAUCUAUUUCUAGUGGUAGGUUCCUAGCGACCUAACCUGGAAGGAAAAUUCGCCCUUGCGAAUUGCUUGAUACACUAUCCACACGAAUAACUUGAUGCACUAUCUUCCAUUCACCCCUUUGAGCGAAUAACCGAUGCAUUAUCUCCCCUCAACUCUUUGAACGAAAUAUGACAAGAAAAAUCCAUGGGUAGUUCUGGUAUAUGGCUUCAAUGUAUUUGCCUACUCCCUCAGUCCUAAAAUAAACCGAUUCCUGGGGCAGAGUGGUUGUCCCACAAAAAAAUCGAUUCGCGCCCAGAAAACGAGACACAUUCAAUAUCUUGCGUGGUCAUGGGUGGUCCAGAAGGAGCUAGAGCGUCCCAACUUUUCCUUUCUCUCCGUUCACACGGCAACCUUUCCUCUCCCAACCUCCCUCUUUCGCUUCUCCCACUCAAUCUCUCCCUCCAACUCCGCCCUCUUUCCGCUCCUAUCUGCAAGGACAGCGGCUGUUCUCCUAUCUGCAAGGACGGCGGCAACAGCCACCGCGAUGGCGCAUGGUGGCACAUGGAUGCAGCGGCGACGGCGGCGGUGAUGGAUGGAUGCAGUGGCGGCGGCGGGAUGAGGCGGUGACAGCAGGAGAUGGAUGUGGCGGCAACAGUAGGAGAUAGAUGCGGCCUGAUGGAUGGACGCGGCGGCGGCGGUAGCGGCGAUGGAUGGAUGCGCGGCGGAUGGACGCGGCGGCGGCGGAUGCAGGAUCCCGAUUUCAUUUUUUUUUCCUCUCUAUUCCUGGUUAGGGAUGGCAGUUUUGCCCAUUUACCCGUUUACCCGCGGGUAAAAACCCUAAUAGAGCUGGGUUUGUUCUCCAUUUAGUACCCAUGGGUAUUUUUUUUGGGUCAAAACAUAUACCCAACGGGCACACGGGCACGGGCAUGGGUAGUCACUACCCAUGCCCGCUUCGCCCGUUUACCCGCGAAACCAACUGACAUGUGGGCCCUCAGUCAACUUAGUAUAAAAACCACCAUCUAAAAUCUUUAGGGUUUCUCUCCCUCCGGCCUCCUCCCACUCCCACUCCCAGCCGCCUCUCCUCCCACUCCCAGUCCCAGCCGCCUCCCAGCCUCGACUCCUCCUCCCAGCCACCCCGGUCUCCGCCGGCGCCCCUACCCCCGCCGCCGGCGCCCCCACUCCCGCCGCCGGCCGCCGGGCAGUCGUCGCCGUGAGGGGACGAGAGAGGACGGGAGGGGCUUUGCCUCACGGCCGCAGAAGGGGACGGGAGGGGCUUUGCCUCCGGGAGGGGCUUCACCUCUGCGCCGAGCACCCCUCCGGCCGGUCGUCCUCCAUCCAGGCCCCCUCCGUUUGCGGCCGCCGUCGCUGCUGCUUCCUGCCUCCACUGCGCCGAGCCGUGGUCCCCCCUCCCCCCGGUCGCCGCCGUCUCCGGUCGCCGCCGCCUCCAGUCCUCCGCAAGGUAUUCCCCUUCUUUUCCCCUUCUAUUCCCCUUCUCUCCUCUAGAUCUAGGUAUCUAUUUUUUUCGAUCUAGUCUCUCCUGAUUUUGAUCUAUUAUUUGUGAUUUGAUUGCUAGUGAUUUGAACUAAUGGCAACUCCAGCAAGCAGCAGCAAGCAUACAAAUACUCCGGCGAGUAGCAGCCGGCGUGCUACUCCUCCGGUCAGCAGCAGCCAGCCUGACCGUGAGCAAGCCUCACAAACUGCUCCUCCUGUUGGUGUGGAUGCAUCUGCAGAACAUGCUGAACAGGAAGAAGAAGAAGAAACUUUACAUGCGAUGGCUUGUUUGGCUGCCUCAAAACUAUGUCAUUUGAAGUUUGUUGAUUGUGCUAAACUAUGUCAUUUGAAGUUGUGAUUAAUGAACUUGUAAUGCUUGUAUUGAACUUGGUACUAUUGUACCAUUUCUUUAAAUUCUUUAAAUUGUGACAUUGUCUUUGCUUGUGGGAAACUGGGAAUUAUAGUUGAACUGAUCUUGGACGGGUAAACGGGCAUACCCGCGGGCACAUGGCGCCCGCGGGCAACGGGCAUGGGAAGUACUCCUUGCCCGUCACGUAGUAACGGGCAUGCCCGCGGGCAUAAAUUACCUCGCGGGCACGGGCAUGGGUAGUCACUACCCGUGCCCGUCGUGCCCGACUGCCAUCCCUAUUCCUGGUCCUUCUUUGUUCUUCUUCUUGUUAUUUUUUUUCCUCUAUUCCUGGUUCUUCUUUGUUCUUGUUCUUGCUAUUGUUCUUGUAUGUGAAUUCAAACCAUUUCUUUUUCUUAGAUUAGAGAGAUGUUCCUUCCUUGCGGCAAUGCAUUUCGUUUUUUCUUCUUUUCCUAGUACUACUCCUUCUCUAAAGUACUAGUAGUAGUACUACUAGUUACUAAAUUAAUGUGUGCAGAAUGCAGAGAUUGGGAUUGGGAUUGUUGAUGGAUGUAGUUAAUGAGGGUACUUCGGUAAUUUCACAUGAACCCUAAACUAGCCUCGAGAAUCUAGGAAUCGAUUUUAUUUAGGCCGGAGGGAGUACUUGUCGUAAUCACAUGAUUUCGAGUGUUUAGGUUUCCACCAUCUGUUGAUUAUAAGUACUUUUUUUACAUUUCCACCACAUCAUGCAUGUACAUGAGUUACCGCACACAUUACCAGUAUUCGCCAUUCAAGCCAUUAAUAACUUGCUACGCUAACAUAAGUACUCUAUAUCCUCUACAACUAAGUGAGUUCUACAGUGAAGCUAGGCAUAAUAAUUGCAGAUCAAGAGACCAGUUAGCAUUAUCUCACAUCUCCCCAUAUCAUGCACCUGAUGAAUGAAGCAAUUCUUCGUCAUCAGAAUAGCCAAAAUCUUGAGACGGAGAGCAGUCAAAAUCUUGUGAUUUCCAUGUGUGGUUUUUCAGUGUCCUACUACCAUCCCUGUGUCCAUUCUCUGCCAGUUGUUGGUCUUGCAAUUCAAGCUGUCUUCUUACCCAAGGAGGAUCAUCUGCACGAAGCCACAGCUUCUCGCCAGUGUCCUUGUGCUUGAAAUCAGGAUAGUAGGAGUAUGGCUUGGAUUGUCGGUUGUCCCACCAUUCGUAAGGGCUAGCGAAGAAGACCUGCCACAAGCGAAGCCGAUCUAUGUACUUCUUUUCUGUAAGUAUUUCAUCUAACUUUUGAAAAGUACAAGGUUAGAAGAUUUGGUAAAUAAUAGAAAAGAAUAUAACUGUACAAGAUAACUCAGCAGAAAUACCUGUGGUAGACAGCAUUGAUGAUUUGUCUGAAGAAUUCUCAUCAUUUUGAGGCCUCUGAUUUUGAUCAAGAACAUAGUUUAGGUCUGUGACAUGUAUCUAUAAAAAAGACGGAGUUAGAAUCACAAUGGCAUGGAAGGGAUAUUGCACUGAAAACAUAUUUUCUUGGCCACAAAUAUCACAAUGCGUUGCUAACUAAACAUUUGUCAGAGGAAAUCAGGUAAGGACAAUUUGAAGAACAGCAAUAGGUGAAGGAGGGCUUGAAUGGGGAGAAACAGAAUCUAGAAUGAACAGGGAGAGAGAAGACAGUCAAGAGAAAAAUACAGCAGGAACCAGUACUUCUGGAUGGAGGAACUUCCUUUAUUUCUUCUAAGGUAUCAAGCAUACUAACAUGUUUUGGUGCAACUUCAACAACUCUUGACUAUGUAUCUCUGAUAUAACUAAAUGAUGCAUCUAACUACUAUUACAAAUUUCAAGGUUCCAAAUAGCAGCGGUGGUAGCAGCCAGUGCUCGCAUUAGCAGUAGUGGGUACUACCGCUACUGAGAUGAGGUACAGCUGCAAAAUAGCGGGUUACAAAAUAGCAACUGCUAUAUGCACUGGAGUCUGAAGUCUGAAUUUUAAAGUUUAAUUUUGUAGUUGCAGUGUUAAGUCAUGUUGGCUACUUGAGAAUCCAGAUCUAAACUUUGACUACCUUGUUAAUUACUACCACUUUUCGUGCAUAUACUAGUGAGUUGUACGUCUAUCUAUAUCUUUUAUGAGUGUUUCGGACCUAUAAAUGUCACCAUUUUAUUGUGUUAAGAGAGUUGUGAACUCUUGAUGUAUGCACGAUUAACUUAAAAAAAUUGAGUUUUUUUAUUCCACUAAUAUAGCAGGUGGUAUCUGCUAUUCCAAUGUCAAUCCACUACUAACCUGCUAUAUACUAGUUAGUGCAAAAUCUACUAACCAACUAGCACAAACUUUCCUCAAGGACAUGGUGCUGUUAUUUGUGGACAUCAAACUCUUUCUAUGAACCUGUUUCCAACUGCCACUCCUGUAGCUUUUCUUCCCUUGUUGACAAUUAUGCACAUCCACCACAAAAGGUGUUCACAACACAAAAGCAGCACGGAACAAGCAAACAUUCUGAGCAAACUUUGUAUUUUUAAUUUGAGCUAAAGUUCUGAUGUUAAUAAAUGUUCUGCAUACGAAGAUGUAUAAUCUAUAUAAGCGAAGGUUGUGGAAUAGAAAAUAUAUUAGAGAAGGCACAAUCUGGUGACAUACAAAUCAUCAAGGUCCUAGGGCCUAGGUGUGCGCUCCUUUUAUAUUUCACAAAGAACAUCAAAAAGUGUUCAAAAGAAGUUAUCAUUGACAAACCUUGUAGAACGUAUGCUUCUCUCCACUUGGAUCAACUUUAUGAUAUGAAUUCAGAAGGCCAGAUACAUAAACAAGGUCAUUUUGUUUCAAAUGCUUUAGGCUUACAUGUGCCAGCUCGCCUUGCAAAUUCAAUGUCACACUGUUCAAGAUCAUAAUAACAUUGUAAAAAUGGUGAUAAACUCCAUUACACGAAAGUACAGGAAUCAUGAGCCGAACAAGACUAUAUACAUUUCAUUCAUGCUCUACAAAAAGGACAAGAAAAUAAACCCUCAUUAAACCAUGCAUACCUUGAAUAUCCCCUAUACGAUUAACAGGUUUGUGAAAGAAAAUGAGACUCUGCUAAGCUGAUUCAGUUUUACUCCAAUCAAUAUUCUCUUUUUUGAUAGAUAUAUACAGCAUGUACUAAGAAUGAAUCUGUUAAAACAAUGUAUAAACACAAAUUGGCCCUAGAACUCAUAAUAAUAAAAAUAAGUACCCAAAGUUAAACAAUGGCCUUCUCAUCAAAACAAUUUGGAAAUGCAAGCUGAACAUGCCUAGUACAAAUGAGGGGAAAGACUUAGGACUAGAUGAAUUUUGCAGACAACAUGAAUGAAAAGGUAAUUCCUAACAUAAAUGAAAAGGUUAUUCCAACCCAUAGCACAGUUAAAUGUAGCAAUUAAGCACCAUAAAUCAAUUAUUACAGAAUGGGCAUCCAAUCACACGAACCGACCGCAACAAGCAUCACAAGAUUGAACUUACUAUGAGCGCACACAACUAAGAUUACUAAGAAGAAUUAGCACUAAGAUAGACCAAAGAAAGGCCUUCCGUUUCUGUCAGGGAUCCAAACUAAUUGCGAUUCAGGGAGAAGAGUGGGGUCGCUACCGGAAGUUGGACGGACUCGAGGAGGGCGGGGAUGAGGGCGAGGAGGAGACCGACAGGAAAGUGUACGCCAUGGGCCGCUCGUCGGAGCUGCCACCGCACGGGCGCACCGGCCCGUCGAGGCGGCCGAUGAGGCUGCACGAGUUCCUCGGGAGCCCCCUCCUCGGCACGACAGGGGGAGGCCGGAGCAUGGACAUGCGGUACGCCACGCUCUCCACCUCCUCCCGCCCUCCUGCGUGGAGGGACCGCCGGAGCGCCGCGGCCGCCGACGAGCGCCCCGACUCGGCGGCGCCGGCGAGGGAGCGCAGCAUGGGGACGUUUCGGGGAAGUGAACGGGGAGAGAGAUCUGUGGGCCCCCACUGUGAUGCCCUUAAUAUCCCUGAACGGAAAAACAACGGGUCCCCCAAACCUAGAGUAAAUUUCCAAAACUACAUGUUUUAUAGGGUUAAGUGGUAGAAAAUCACACAUAUUUUGAUCCUUGGCACUUAAGUACAUAUAUUUUGGUAAUUUAGUUUUACAAAACCACACUAUCGAUGAAUGUAUUCACCUGCGAGAUGACGUGGAUGUUUUAUCUAGGAUAAGGACGUGACAUCCUAUUAAUUUCGUGCGAUGGCGGGUAAUAUGAUGUCAUGUCCUCGUCCUUCAUGAAACAGUCACGUCAUCUCGCGAGUGAAUCCAUUCAUUGAACCAAAAUAUAUAUACUUAAGUGCCAAGUGUCAAAGUGUGUGGUUUUCUACAACCUGAACUACAAAACGUGUACGUUUUGUGAAAUUUACAAAACCAGUGCAAACCUCGAUUUACAAAACCAGUGCAAACGAGGUGUCAGUAUUAUCCUCGGUUUUAGCUGACGUGUUAACUACGUGGCUAAUUUGACUAAUUCUUUGCCCUGUGUGGUAUUGAUGUGACGCUUAUAUAGUACCCCUCAUUCCCAAAUUGAUCCUCAUAUAUAAAUAUAAGUUUAUGCACCAAGACCAAGGAUAAUUUAAAUCAUAUCAAUCAAGGCACCAUACACAUAUUUUUCCACAAUACAUGCAUCGAUUAAAACACCAUGCCAAUUACUCCCAUGCAGCAUUAAUUGUAUUCUAAUGAAAUCCGUGUUCAUGCAUGUAUAUGAUGAUCAAUUUGAGAAAUUUUAAAUUCUAUUAUAUGAUGAUCAAUUUGGAAAGGAGGGAGUAGUUUAAUUAAAAAAAAUAAAAGGAGCAAAGCUGAAAACUAAAUCUAUCUAUAUCUAUAUAUACCUAAUUUAAAAAUACAUAAGGCUUCCGCCUUCACUUUCGUCCGUCACCCCUUGCUUCCCCCUCUCUCCCCUCCCUCCUUCCUGGUGCCCUGAUCUUCACACGCUCCCCCUGCCCAUGGCCCCUCUUCUCCCUGACGUCCUUCCUCUCCCACCUCUCCCGGCGACCCUCCUCUCCCGCCUCCAUCCUCCCUCACGACACCCCACAUCUAUACCUCGCCGCACGUCCUCCCCCUUUCCCACGACAUCUCUACUCCUUGGCAUCUCUCCUCUCCCCUGCGUAUCCUCCUCUUACGCAUUCAAGAAAAACGGAACCUCCUCGUUCGGGAACACGUUUUGAUGUACUCACCCGUCCAUGUUCACCACAAGAGCUUCCUAUUGUCGUUUCUUUCUCUAUCGGGACCAUGUUGUUGUCAGCCGUGUUCCCAUUGUUCUGGUUUGCUUCAUUGCCAACCACCACCAUCUAUGGACGAGUCACAUCAUGGGACACGUCCGACCACCUUACUCAUCCCUGUUUGGUCGCUGGAGCACUGUUGCCGAUCUUCCCUCCUCUUCUGUUGGUUGUGUUGGUUAGGGAAGACGAUGGACAAUAUUAUUGUUUUUUAUUCAUCUUUUGUUCUUCCCGCGCGUUCAAGGAAAACGGAAUCUUCCGGGACCGUGUUUUCACACACUCAUCUAGUCGUGUUCACCACCAAAACUUGGUGUUAUCGUUUCUCUCUCUAUCUGGACUACGUCGUUGCCAGCUCCACUCACAUAGAUCGGAUGCAAAGUAUGGUUAUGCGAAAGAUUGCAGCAUCAAGAGCUAAACCAGAAACCCAGUUUGAAACUACAUCCAUCUAGUUUACAGUUUACACUACCCACCAGAUGUUUUGGUUUUGCUUCUUUGUAAACUAUCAGUACUAGUACCUUUGUUUACACAGUCAAAUGGAUUACAUAAUGAAUAAAAUUUCUCUGGGUUCUUAAGGAGAUUUGUACAGUGAAAUGGUACUGCGGUUUCAUACUUUUUCCUCCCCCCCCCAAUGUUAAGCUAAGCAGAAUUUAUGUACUAAUAAAUCUAUUCAUAAUUUAUUGUACUACUUAAAAUCUAUUCGUAAAUUAUUCAACAAAAAAAAACCGGUUCGUCCGAGACAAGAACUUAGGACAUCUCCAACCCUCCAUAUUAUCUACUAUCAAUAGCAUUAAAUACAUUGCCACAUAAGCAAAAAUAUGAUGUGGCAAAAGAGUUAAUAAUGAGAGAGGUAAAAAGAUGAAGAAAUCAUUUCUCAUACGAGAAACCAUAUCUCAUACAAGAAACCAUAUCUACACAGUAACCAAGAAUGAAAAUAAUGGGAUAGGAGGGUAAAAGGAGAGAGAAGAGAGAUGAUUGGAUGGUAAUUUAAUUUGAAGACACUAUCUAUUGGAUGUAUAGUUUCUACACAUAGUGUCUAUAUUAUAUGGCAAGUAUGGAAACUACUUGAUAGUUUCUGGGUUGGGAUAGCCUUAGGAAGAACUGAGUUGAAGAUGCUACUCCCUCCGCCCAAAGCGGAAUUGACCGAUGGUGGUUGGUCGAAGCUCCAGUGGGUCCCAGAAUAUAAACAUUUUUAAAGUUGGAUAAAAUUAUUAAGAAAAUUGGUAGGAUUAAAUAGGAGAGUGUUGUGAUUGGAGAAGAAGUGGAGGUAGGUAAAAAAAUUGAAUGGUGGAGAAUUAUGAUUGGUUGAGAAGAAAAUGUUGGUGAAUAAGUUGUUAUAUUUUGGGACAAAUUUUAAAGGCUAGAAGUUGUUAUAUUUUAGGACGGAGGGAGUAGAAAGUAGUGUAGUAUAUAGUAUAGACUAUGGUUUAGAAAGUCGUUUAGGACAAUGUUUCAGUCAAACCUUACGAAUGUAAAUCAUAAAAUAACUUAGUUUGAAAAUAUAAAAAGUAUAUGAACAGAUUUGUCUUGAAAAAUACUUUUAUUAAAGUAUAUAUAUAUAUAUAUAUAUAUAUAUAUAUAUCAUUUUUUAAUAAAUAUUUUUAUAGAAGCCAGAAGUUAAAAUUGUGUUUUAGAGAUCAUGUCGCUGUCCAAAACGAGUUUCUGAGUACGGAGGGAGUACUUGAGACCGGAGACCGGCGGAGACGUAGCCGCAAGCGGAAAGAUAUCCCGGCGAGGGAGAUCGACGAGGACGAGGUGGCGCUCAGCUGUGUGCGCUGACAGCUGGCACAUCAACAUGAGCGAGCGGGAGGUCAUGGGGGGAACUCCUCCGUCGGAGCUACCGCGCGCCGGCGAGGAGGCCUAGGCGGCGGCGGCGGCGAGGCUGCAGGAGAGGACCCGAGAUGUGUCUCUUUUCGGUUGCUUUUGGGUUUAGUAUGGGCUUUACUGGGCCUUCGCCCUUUUCACUUCAAUGUUGAAUGGGCCGCUGACAGGUUGCCCGUUGGCAGCACGUGGGCCUGCCGAUGUCACGCUCGCUGUCGCUGGGCGGCACAUCAUAUGGGCAUGGGCUGUAUCUUGGCGGUGUUUAUGUUGGGUUGGGUAUUUACGUGGGCCAUCAAUGCGGGCUGGUUUUCAGCUCAAUAUUGACUAGUCUAUACUGCUCAAUGUUAGUAGCGAUGAUAUCCAUUCUCAUAUAACCCCUACCAGUUAAGUUUAUGUCUCACAAUCUAUGCUACACCAACUUUUAACAGGUUCUCCCUCAUUUCACUAUUACCUCCAUCAAAAAAAAAAUCAAAUCACCUACUUGUUCAAUAUGUAUUUACUUAGACUAAAUAAUUGUUUAUUAAUUGAUUUAGUAAAUUAGAAACUGAAUUUGUUUUCUGUUGAAACGGAUCGGCUCUAGGCUACUACAUUACCUUGAGAUAAAAAGGGAGCGAAUUUUCGUCAAGUCUCAUUAAACUAAACCAAACCUCACAGGAGUACAAAUAAAUAUGCAAAAUUUACUACAAGACAUCGAAAGAUUGCGGCUUUUGCUGUGAGACACCCGAAGAUCGUGUAUUUGCUCGUGGACACUACAAAAAAGUGGUAAUUAGUUACUGGACACUCCUCCCAUUAUUUUAUUAUUUUUGGUCAAAAUAGAGAGAGAAAGAGCUGUGUAAGUUCCCAUUCUUCCUAGCGACGACGGCCGGCCCGAGCCAGGAUGGCUCGGCCACGGCGGGGCGGCGGCGCAUCGCCGGAGUUCACCGCCAACGGCGAUGACACACAGCGGCAUCCCUGCGCACGGAUGAGGUCGGCAAAGCUUGGUCGUCGACGAUGGCUUGCGGAAUGUCUCGGCGGCGGCGCUUCACCUUGGAUGAACGACGAUGGCUCGAUUUCUUCAAAGGACUGCCAUGCAUGCAUGUAUUUCGUGUUAGAGAUGUCCAUGCGAGGCUACCAUGGCAAGGAAUCGGAUUGGGACUCACUGGAGAGGGAGAAAUCGAAGAUGGAGCUCGGCAGCCGGAGUUGGAGAAGAUGAUGCCGAUCUCCAAGAUCGUUGCGCCAUUGGAUGGGGUACUUGGGAGUAAAAGGAGAGGAGGUCGAGGUGAAGCUGAUGGCAUGGUGGCUCGGCUUGCAAUGGUCCACUGCACCCCGAACGGCGACAACGUCAAGGCGGCGAUGUGCAGAGCGUGCUCCAAGGUCGGCGAUGACACGACGGCGUUCCCGUCGAUCCGCUACACGAGAGAGGAUGUAAUCAAAAGGAAAAAUCUUCGGCAUGUUAAGGUGAGUAUGGAAUGGUGGUAAGGUAGAGAUGAAGAUAGCUCUUUGGUGACAUCGCGCGUUGUCUUCUUCAUGGCUGGCGAGGGAUUUGAGGGCGAUGAAGAGAUUGAGAGCUUCCUCUCUCGGUUUGGUCGACACUAGAGCCGGAGUUCACUGCCGACGGCGACGACGCACGACGGCUCGGCCAUGGCGGAGCUCGGUGGCGGCGCAAUGAGAAAGAGAGGAACAGAUCGAGAAAGGGAGGAAGAAGAACAUAGAAAGAGAGAUUGACAAGUGGGCCCAUGGGCAAACUUGUCUUUAACCAAAGUUUCUCUCUCUAUUUUAACCGGAAAUAAUAAAAUAAUGGAAGGAGUGUCCAGUAGCUAAUUACUAUUUUUUUGCAGUGUCCACGAGCAAAUACACGAUCUUCGGGUGUCUCAUAGCAAAUGCCGCAAUCUUUCGGUGUCCUGUAGCAAAUUUUGCCAAAUAAAUAUGAGUAGAAAGUACUACUGCAUGGAAUGCAAAAGUUUGUUUCCACGUCAUGCAUGUACGAACCAUGAAUCAAGCUUAUUCAGAAGUCCGAACAAUACUUUUCUUCUCUCCCCUAUAAUAUAACAAAAAAUUAUAAAAAAAAGAUUUUAUCUGCUGCCAUCCGUUGACUGACGAAGACACAUCAGGUUGCACACACGUCCUAUGCACUUGUCCGAUAUUCUGCUGAGCAUAAAUUGGAAUUUUGUUGGAUUAGCUAUAUUUGGACAAGGAGUAUGAAUUGGACCAACCCAACCCAAUGCAGUGAUGCACUGUAUGUGCUAGACCUUAGAUAGUACUACAAGAUAAGGGUAAGGUUCAUUUUUAGCGUUGUUCGAAGUCUAUUUUGCAUCUACAAAACUGGUUAUUUUCAUCGUCAACUUCUAAAACCGGAAAGACAAUUCAACACCCCAAGACAAUUUUUUGUAGUUUUGUUUAAAAUAGAAGCAGUGUUUUCCUAGUUUGUGUUCCCAUUGCACACGUUCAGUUAAUGCAGGUGUCAAUUAAUUAAUGAAGUUCACGUGUUAGUGAAAAUACAUUAGCAAUAAUAUGUUUUAGGGUGUCAUAUGUGUCUAGUUUUAAAAAUUGAAAGUGAAAAAUAACUGGUUUUGCAAUUCAGAGCAAAAGGGUGACUUUUAGCAAAACUAAAAAGGGGCUAACAAUAGACUUAAUCCGCUGGAUAAUUAAUUUUGGAUGUCCUUUUAAUAGUAUCUUUUAGUGUAUUAAUUCAUCCAUGAGUUGUGUAUUAAGGCUGGAUAAUAACGAGUCAGCUCGGCUCGAUAAGUGUUAGCUCAUUUUAGCUCUCGUUAUCUUAAUGAAUCAGCUAGGCGCGGCUUGUUACCGUUAACGAGCUAAAAGCUUGAUUUCAGCAAGCUUGUUAAGCUUAUUAGUAAGUUCUAUCUCAUUUAUAACACUUUUAUAAUUUUAUAUUAACCAUUUUGUCAAACAGUAAUUUAAUAACAAAUACUGACUAAUAAAGAGAUUGGUAGAUUUUUUUUUAUUUUGAACUCCUUAAUUUUAAAAAUAAACUCUCUAAAAACUUAUCUUUCCAAAUCUGAAUCAUUUGGCGAUAUCAGCCACGUGGCGGUAAAACAUUGAUACGCCAAACACUUAAUCCUUAAAGCUAUUAUGGAUAUCUGAGCACAAAUUCGAAAAUGCCAUAUAGAACUAGAUGAUGAGGUAGAGGAGAAAAGAGAGAAGAAAGAGAAAGAGUCACCCUCAUGCAAGGGACUCUUUCUAUAAAGGUGUCAGGGUUAUGGAUACCACAUAUCUAAUAAUAGUUGACUAAAUCUCAGCAGCACCCACCACAUACCAUAUCCUAUACGGAAAUAACCUGCGGAUAUAUGGAGGGAGUUUCGGAUAAGGAAAGACAUCCAGAGUUCUACAUGGAAACGACAAGGACUACUCGAAUUGUAUCCAUAUUGGUUUCCCUAGUUCUACUUGGACAAGGGGACACCUAUGGUUAUAAAUACAAGGCCCCCUAGGAGGAGAGGGGGGACAAUCAACACACCCACCAUAGAAGACACCCAUCACAAUCAACAUAGACGCCACAAAGCCAAUACAAGCCAACAUACGUCAAGACAAGACGCCGGAUAUCGAUUUCAGGGAUAAGCACAGCUAGUCCCCUACGGUGUCUCCGGAUACUGUCAGGAGAGACGAAAGCGUUAUCUCUGAUCUCGCUGGGCACAAACUCGAGGAGGAAGACUACCCUGUUGUCGACUAUGAGUCAGACCUUCAUACCGCCAUGUCGACAACAGUUAGAUAGGCGACCCCAUACUAUUGUACUGGUGUGAUUAUGGUGAAUAAGAGCAAUACCGGCUUCGGCCAACAGGAUGUAGUGUUAUUACCUGAUAAUUCAGAGGCCCGAACAUGUAUAAAAAUCCCUGUCUCUGCCUCUCUUACCUCAGUCUCGCGUAUAUCCUAGUACCAACGAUCUCCAUACUAGAAGGCCCAUGCAGUUUUUCGAAUACAUACUCGAUAUUAUCUGCUAUAUGUCUUGCCUUCUAGAAAAUAUUUUUCAGGAACAAUUGAGCACUCGAGUAGGUUGUGGUCAAGUACACCGCAUUGUCGAGAACGAUCUCGACAAAUGCAGAGUCAUCGUGCCCAACCUACCAACGAAGACCGACGACCUAUCUCAUAGCACCGGCCAUGGCUGGACUACUCGAGAAAAGGUUGUUAACAGAUAAUUCCUCGUGAACGCCGUCGGCUUGAUCACCUGACAUGAUUGCGAACGGACAUCCGGAUAUGCUACAAGUUGGGUGUGUGAGUCAUGCUGGCCACAUGAGACGCACGUGUAAUAAACCAACUCUAGCGCUUCCUCAGAUGGUUGAGGUACGACUACAGCAAUAACGCAGCGGUCCUCGUACCACGACUUCAAAUGAUCGAGAGAUACCUACUCACUGGUUCUCAACCAGUCAAUCGUAGCGAUCUCUCAUAUAUUUACUUCUAGUGGUUGAGUUACGACUACUAUCUGGUUCUUGACCAGAGGUGUAGCGAUUCUCCCAUUACCUCUACUUCAACAAAGUUGAUAUCAGGUGCACAAUAUCGCCAAGUGUUUUACCCAGAGAUCCCUUACCACAAAAGACACCUAGCGUUGAAACCUAUCCUAAUGUCCCUUUUACGCCGUCUUGACAAAGCCUCUGAGGAACCUAAGGGAACUUCGGCUGGGGACGCCCAUAGCGGAUAAGGCUUUGUCGGAUCCUUUAGAGACGAAAGACCAUGUAAGAUCUGGUCGUGUAAGAGUUCUCGUCUUGCGUAUUAACCAAGCCAUGCAAUCGGAAAUGGAUUUUCUAACUUCACGGCUGGGGGCUAGGAUCAGUGCUUGUUCAACCGAGGCAGGUCAAAGGUCUAAGAGCCUUAUCCUCCGAGAACGAUUCUCCGACGACAAGGCUGGGGCUAGGGAGAGUGUAUAACUCAACAGACUGACUGAUCGAAGUCGGUAAGAGAGUAGACGCUCAUAUACAAAACAUUGGUCUGUAAGUUUAAUUCAUUUUCGAUUUUCCAUACAUAUUAUAACAUGUCACCCUUUGAGCAUUCGCUCAGGGGCUAUUUCUAUCUAAUAUUCUUUUCUGAGUAUUGAUUUCAAGAAAAUUCUAUUCGGCAUUGUCGAAGACUCCAUGUCUCUAUGGUUCUACACCAAGAUCGACUAAGGCGAGUACGACAAAUGUUGACAAGGCUCCGUCGCAGACUCUACACCUACUCGAUUACUCGAGAACGGUUGGUGGAUCUCGACAAGGAAUACAAAAUGAAGAGAUGGUGUACCCGCCGAGAUAAAAUUUCUUGACUUCAAUCCAAAUUCUCGAUUACAGCAAGACGGGAGACUUAGUCGCACGCUCUGUACUUUCUCGGUUGACACCAGAGAUUGACUCAGACAAACCCUUUAGGUGCCCGCACGAGGCUGAUAAAGGAAGUUCGAGGCUGAUAAAGGAAGUCUAACAUUAUCUCUGAACUCACCGAGAAUGGUCACAUGAGCUCGAUAACAGUUACUCCAAGGUUUACACGCGGUUGAGAAUAUGAAUUCGUUCAUUUGCAUCGAAGUCGGGGGCUACUGUCAGGGUUAUGGAUACCACAUACCUAAUAAUAGUUGACUAAAUCUCGAUAGGACCCACCACAUACCAUAUCCUGUACGGAAACAACCUGCGGAUAUAUGGAGGGAGUUUCGGAUAAGGAAAGACAACCAGAGUUCUACAUGGAAACGACAAGGACUACCCGGAUUGUAUCCAUAUUGGUUUCCCUAGUUCUACUUGAACAAUGGGACACCUAUUGGUAUAAAUACAAAGCCCCCUAGGAGGAGAGGGGGGACAAUCAACACACCCACCAUAGAAGACACCCACCACAAUCAACAUAGAUGCCACAAAGCCAAUACAAGCCAACAUAUGUCAAGAUAAGACGCCAGAUAUCGACUUCAGGGAUAAGCACGGCUAGUCCCCUACUGUGUCUCCGGAUACUGUCAGGAGAGACGAAAGUGUUAUCUCUGAUCUCGCCGGGCACAAACUCGAGGAGGAAGACUACCCUGUUAUCGACUACGAAUUAGACCUUCAGACCGCCAUGUCGACAACAGUUAGAUAGGCUACCCCAUACUAUUGUACUGGUGUGAUUAUGGUGAAUAAGAGCAAUACCGGCUUCGGCCAACAGGAUGUAGGGUUAUUACCUGAUAAUUCAGGGGCCCGAACCUGUAUAAAAAUCUCUGUCUCCGCCUCUCUUACCUCAGUCUCGCGUAUAUCCUAGUACCAACGAUCCCCAUACUAUGCAAAUAACGGAAUCGCGACAUCAAACGUCGACAAAAGGGAGAUGAAACAAAUAGAUAUGCAAUAGAUUAAGAGAAAAAUAAAUAAAGUAGAAUUAUUAUGUUGUAUUGGGGCAAGUGUGAUGAAGGCAAUGUGUUGUAUGCAUUACCUCUUAAAUAAUAACCGGAUGAUGUAUAUAAGUUUAGAGAUGACUAUCACCUCUACUAUAAAACUUGCUCUUAUGAUGUAGCAUUGUUAUUUUGCCACAGCUAUAUUGACAUGCAAAAUAACACUGGCACGUCUAAUUAAUGCGGGUGACAUGGCAAUGUUGUUUCGUAAAGAAGGGUGACAUGGUAAAAAUAUUAAGAUUUGAUAUUAAGUUUUAAGAGGGUUUAUUUUUUUUAAGAAAAAUAAAAAAGGUUAAAACAUAAUAAAAAAUUCUAGCUUGAAUGGAGUGGAAUCCUCCGCUAUAUAGCAUGGUGCUAUAGGGCAGAGGUCCACAGUAAUAAUGGGCAUUAGCCCUCAUCUCAGUUCUCUGUUUGAAGUUCAACGCCUGGGGUGAAUAGCUAUAGUACAAAAUUAUCUGUACAGUACAAAAGUUACUGCUGCUAUAGUACCUGUGCACUGUUCAGGGAGUCAAGCCAACGCGCAAGACGAAUGUUACUGCAGAUAGUAGCUCAGAUGCGUAGAGGACUAGACGACAUGGACGACGCGCUUGAGCCCAUUCUCGACUUUUCAAAUUGCCCCCAUUGAAAGUCGGUAUUAUUAGUGUUCGUAGCCAUAAUUUUUUAUGAAGUCAAUCGAAUUUGUCAAGAUUAGCAACUACAAGAGCAAAGAUUUGCAAUUUGUUAAACCAAAGUGUGUAUGUAAGAGCAUAUAUAUAAGUCACACUCUUUCAGAAAGUACAGGGUGAUGCACACCAUUCACCACACACAUGUUACCAUAGUAUGGUGGGUUCAGCAAAAUAAAUUCGUAGUAGUAUGUAUUAUUCUAACUUGUAUUCACACCACAAUUUUUAUAUAAAUUCGAUUGGCUAGGUACAUACACAUGCGAAGGCAUACGAUUACAUUGUACCCCCCCUCCCUUUCUGACUUGGAACUCUCGGUUAAUGGCAGCAGGGUAUCAGCAGGCCUCACCAUUGAUCACCCCAACCUUAGAGCUCUGCCGGCUAGUGAAGAGAAUCAUCCACCACAGUAGUGGCAACAGCCACAGGUAGGCAUCUUCGCACCUCCUGACGACGGAUCCGAUAUCUUUACAUUACUCACCACUCUAUGUGAUGAGGGUACCUUAGAUCUAUAUAGGCUUGCCACUGAGCGGAGAGAGCGGAAAUGGGUUUUCUGGUGACAGUGGCUAAGUUUUAGGUCGCCUUUGCAGUCAGUUCCAUGGGAGACGAUCUAAGGAUCGGAUCAAGUGGUGUAAGUGAAUUUAUAUUUUUUUAAAAAAAUAUUACAUGCAUAUAAUUUAUAUAUAUAUGGUUUAAUUUAUUUGGGGAGAUAUUGGCAAAUAGAAUUAGAAAAUUUAAUUGGACAUAAGUCUAAAAUGUCACCCUCUAAUGAUCAGUAAUAACAUAUUGACAAAAAAAAAACACUACUUGAAAAAUGUUGGGCCGGUUGGAAUACCGGGGCUACGACACCGUAGAGCUUAUCGUAGAGCCAUCAGGAUCAAUCGCAUAGGCGAAGGCAAAUUCGGGUUACAAGAGUCGCAGCCAGAACCGCCAUCUGUCAAAUAAUUCCUUUAAAAAAGUUUAUAGGCUAAAGUUAAGUGGUCCAAUUAAGCCUCUCUAUAUAUUAGUUAUAGGCACGCGCAUUGCAAUGUUUUUUAUUCAAUCUCUUCUUUCUAUAAAGCUAAUGCCUACUACACACCUAAAGUUCAACAUGCAAGCAUAGUAUUUAUUAGCACUACUAAAACCUACAUGCAAGCAUGCCACAUCAACCAAUUAAGUUCAUAAAACUCAACAUGCAUACACAUAGUAAUUAUAUCUACAAUUUAUUUUAUUCUAAAACAAAACAUACACAUGCUAAAUCAUCAUUCUCAAAUCAUUUUCAUAAUAUUUCAAUCCAAAUCAUUCAUCAUUUCUCUAUUAUCUAACAUAUAUCCUGCAGCAAAGCGCGGGGCGUCAUCUAGUUUACUAAGAUGAUUUAGGUCUAGUGGGCUUUUAAUCCUUUUUAUAAUGGUUGGUUCUUUAGGAAAGUAGAAAUUUUUUUGGGGGUGGAUGGUUUUUUAUAGGAGGAAAGAGAGGUUUUUAUGUGGAGGGGAAGGAGGAUGUUUUUUUUAAGUAGAGAUACAUGUAUGUUUAGAUUAAACUGUGAAUGAGAUGGCUCACCCAAAUAAUAACUCGGUAGAUCUACGGAUACCCUGCACCUCUCCCAAACAAGCUCUAUCUAGAUUGCCAAUAAAAUGUCCGCCAUUCCGGGGUGCAUGCAUCUCACUACAUACCUCGAUCUUUAAUUGUGCAGUUACAAAGUCAUAUGCAACGAAACAGGCCAACAAAGAAUUAAUUAAUUAAUUAAUUAAUUAGAAAUUUAGUUAGUUAUCACUGUUCCAUUGGGUGAUUGGGGGUUUGCAAAUGCUUCGCGAUGCACGUAUGCACCCAGCCCGUCAAAUCAAUCGGCAAUUGAUGAAACGGCGACAAAAAAUAAAUCGAAGGAACAUCAUAUAUAUACCCCCUCCGUCCUAUAAUAUAAGGGAUUUUAACCUUUUCUUAUACUUUUUGACUACUCAUCUUAUUCAAAAAAUUUGUGUAAAUAUAAAAAAUGAAAAGGUAUGCUUAAAGUACUUUGGAUAAUAAAGUAAGUCACAAAUAAAAUAAAUAAUAAUUCUAAAUUUUUUUGAAUACGACGAAUGGUCAAUCUGUUCAAAUAAAAAGUUAAAAUACUUUAUAUUAUGGGACGGAGGGAGUACUCCGGUAUAUAUCAUCACCGCAAUGAUACGUAGGCGACGACGCACAGUGACAGGUAGCAUACCACAGGAGUCAGGAGCAUCAUAUCACCAGCGUACGUACGCGUGACCACCGACAACGAUGCCUCUCACGAUCACAGCGACCUCACCUCACACCUCCGUCUCUUUUGCAUUGGAGGCCAACACAUCCACCGAACAAUGACCUUACAUGUUGCGAACUUGCAAUGGAUCGUCGGAAUGUUUAGUACUGUGGAAUAUAUACAAGUCGGUAACCACGUUUGUUUUGUUUUGUUUGGUUUGUGGUGAGGGACGCCGGUCAAAGAGGAUUGCUGGACACGCCUCUUUUGUAUCAUGUUUUGGUAGUAAUUGUUUUCUCUCAUGACGACUAAUGAUUCUCAUCACCUGGUAACAAGAAUUCUAGUACUUUUGAAAGGGAGAUUGAUUUAUUGCUUUUAAGAAUUUAAACGGUACACAAGACAAUAUAUAUGUGAAGCCAGGCAAACAAUCACUACUACAUAAUAUAUUUUCCUGGAUGCCCUCCCCUUUUAUUUCCAUGCGGUUCGUAAGUGGAACCGCAUGUAAAAAUAGGGGACAGGCUCCAGGCUAUUGCCCACACGGGAAAAAGCAAUAUCCCGUGCGGGUGGCUUAAGCCAACCACACGGGCCCACCGCAAUUAAGGUCCACCACCUACCUUCGCCCGGCCGCUCCACCUCCCUCUCUCCCACUCUUCUCUCUCCACUCCUCUCCUCUCCUCUCCUCCCACUCUCCUCUCCUCUCUCCACUCCUCUCCUCUUUCUCCCUCAGUGCAUGGCGCACGGCGGUGGGCGAGAGCGGCGGCGGCAGCCGCGGGCGAAAGCGGCGGCGGCGGCGGUGGCACGCACUCCCUCCCCUCCUUCCCUUAGCAGAUCCGGCGGAGGGGGGGCUUGGGGGCUUGGGGGCAGCGGAUCUGGCGGCGCCCGCCCCCUCCCCUCCUUCCCCUUGCAGAUCCGGGGGAGGGGGCGGCGGAUCUGGCGGCGCGCGGCGGGUGGAGAGCAGGCGGCGGCGGCGGGCG
rnacentral:lncRNA from 1 species